rnacentral:lncRNA from 1 species
AUUCAUCAAAAAUAUAUUCCGAACGCGUUUUAUUAUUUGUCAAAUUCUCAGCUAUAAAUCACAUACUGUGGAAUUAAAUAUCGAUUCGAUCUAUUUCGACCAAAUCGAAAGGUUCGAUUAAAGGGUUCGACUAUUUUCAAACACUAUUAAAAGUACAAUCAAAAGGAUAUUAAUCGGUAAUCCAACUAAUUUUCUUUCAUCUCUUCAUUGGAGAAGAAUUAAGAGAAUACAUUUUUUCUCUUUAUCUUCUUUAAAAAUAUAGUAUAACAGAGAUGAAUAAUUCCUUUUUAUCUCUUUUACAUUCGUGGGACAACUAAGGCGGGAUAAAUCCCUUCCUUGCCUCCCUAACAGUAACAAAGCUCCCUCUCUCUUUCAUAAUUAGCUCUUUUUCUCUUUUGAUAAUAUCUUUCUGCAAAAAAAAGAGCAUCGCUCUCUCUUUCUUUCGAUGAUGCUGUAUUUUAUAAAGAGAAGAGCACCGCUCUUUCUUUCUUUCUCUCUUUUGAUACUAUUUUUUUAUAAAGAGAAGAGCACCGCUCACUCUCUUUAUGUACAAAUCGGGUCCGACGUUAAAAGUACGUCUUAAGCAUUUUAUUAAAUAGUUGGCCGGCAUGAUUCGUUGGCGUGAACUCCGUCAGACCAAUAUCCUAGGCGGCUUUGUAGGCGACGAGGUUGAUACUGUUGCUGCCGAGUCUGCUGAAAUUGGUCUGUACAUUUGCGAGGGGCAAGCCGUCGACGUCCGGGAACUCGUCGAACGAGUCCUGGCAGGUGUCAACGAACGUGCCGACGGUCGAAAGCUUACUGUUGACGUCCACGAGCAGCCCGUCACCGCGCACCAAUCGUCGGCACAUUCUGCAGCGCGUCCGCCGCUUGCGCGUGCUUCGCCUUAAAGCGCCGCAGUCUGGACCGACGUUGCGGCUCGUUGUGGCCACAUAUCGAACACCUGGUGAGCGGUGACGAGUUGGUUCAGCGCAAGCUGGCACUCGGUCAUGCCGUUGUCGAUGAGCCUCUGAGGUUCGCGUAGGCGCUCAGCGGAGCUCGGAGGAGACGCGCGAGGGCGGUGUUGACGAACUUGGCGUCGCGGCCCGCCGAGUAGGUCGCAGGCGAAAGCGAUCUCGAACCCGGCGGUGACGGCGAAUCCGGCGAUGGCGCUGGCGAUGGGCUUGCGACACGCGGCCAUGGCGAUGACAGGAUCGGCGUUAGGGUUUUUUUGACGUCGCCUUUGAAGGUGUUCUCGUCGGCGGUGAGGUCGACGCCGGAGCAGCAGACGCGGCCGCGCUCGGCGAGGAUCACGGCGGAUCCAUAGGGUCGCUGCUCCACUUGAGCAUUUCAUCGAGCACCUUGUCGGAGGUCCCCGCGGCAAAGCGCGGGGAGAGAGCGCGGUUCGCGGCGUUGGAGUCGUCAAGGGCCUCGAGCUGCGCCUUGAUGGAGUGGGCGGUUUCAGCGGAUCGCGGCCAUCGCGGACGGCGCUGACGACGACGCACUCGGUGGCGGCGUAGUAAGCGACCUUCUCGAAGGUCGACACGGGGCGGUCGACGAGGACGAUGGGGUUGUAGCCGGGUCGGCCGAAGCGGGCGUUAAUGUAGCGGGUGAUGGAGCGGGCCUCGUCGGCCACCUCCUCGACGUCGCGGCCAUGACUAUACGCCGGGUUGGUGAUCUGGACGAGCAUGGCGCGGCCACGGAGCUCGGAGCACUCCUCGAGGAGCCACUCCAUGGCGAGGAAGCGAGCGGCCUCGGCAGCGGCGAAGAAGCGAGUGGUCUUGGCAGUGGCGAAGAAGCGAGCGGCCUCGGCAGCGCGGGGGUCGGCGAGGAGCGGGCGGCCUCGGGAACGCUCAGUCGAAGCGGCAGUCGCCUCCGAAGACCUCGGUGGUAGUGUAGUUGAUGCGGUUGUCGAGCUCGAGGAGGAGGUCGAGGUUCUGGAGCCCCACGUCGGCGUCGUCGUCGUCAGAGGCUCUCGUGGGUUUUGGCCAUGGUGGAUGCUUAUUUCAGAGAGAGAGAGAGAAAGAGAAAGAGAUUUUUUUUUGUUUUUUUUUUUUUUAAGCCGAGAGAGAGCUUUGUUUUCUCUUUUUUUUUUUUUAGCGAGAGAGAUAGAGAGAGCUUUUAUUAUUUUUUUUUUGAACGGGAGAAAGAGAUAAUAUAUAUAUUUUUUUACCUCUUUUUUUUUUUGCGAUCGAUGGAAUGGGGUGGAUAUUUUUUUUUUGAUUAGAUUUCGAAGAUUCAAAAAGCUCUCCUCUUUGAAUUUUUUCGAGAGGUAUUUAUGGGGUGGUUGCAACGGAUUUGAGGGAAACGUGGCAUAUGAUUGAGGAUUGAGGUGGUUGUAACAGGAUUUGAAGAAAACGUGCGUAUGGGUGCGGAGUUAUGGGAUCGUGGAUGGUUGAGGAUCGGUGGAUGAUGGGAUCGUGGGUAUAGGUUGUUACGAUAGUAUUAUGAAUUGUGGGAGAGAUUUUGGAUGGUUAGAUGGGAUUAUGAGAUAAUGGAUGGUUGCGAUGGGAUUGUGGGAAUAUUGCGAAUUGGUCCUUUCCUUUGCUCAUAUUACACUUAGUCAAUAUAUAAAAUAUUAUAUGAUUAAAGCGGGCAUUUUGUAAUACGUGAAAGGGAAAGGGCUAAUAUGCUAUUUUUAUACCCGUUCGUAUCUACAAGAACGUCCCACUUUUCGUAAUUUAUGCUCCGUGCAUGAGAAUAUUUUCAAAAUUUAAAUUUAUCCAUGCACCUGGUGCAUCGAUAAUCUCAUAAACCAUCUCUAUAUUUUUAUUUCUUUCUCUCCCUUUUUUUUUUUUUCUUUUUCCUCUUUUAUUCCUCUCUCUUUUUUUUAUGCUUCAAACAGCUCGAUUGAUUGGUCAGAUUUGACAUUUCCUACAGUUGGUUAGUGUAGAGUAUGAUAUGUGUAGUGAUCGAUAGCGGUAGAGUGUACUUCCUACUUUUCCUACUAUUGCUUGCUCCCUUCUGUAGACUUAGUGGGUGACCGAUGUUGUUUUGGGCGGUACCCACUGAGGACUACUUGUUUUUACAGUAGUUCUUACGCCCAGUUGUUACUCUUGUUUUGCAGAGCCACAGGUUUCGGCUGCUGCGCCUUCCGCGGAUCAAGAUCGAGACAAGGGCGUCGCGAGCUAGAACCCUACUCGACUGACAGAGCUAGAGGCACCCCUACUGCAGGUAGAUGUUUUGUCUGAGUUUAUGUACAUAGCUUACUUAACUCGCCAGUGCGGGUAACUCUGUAUUUUGGACUUGGACUAUGUAUAUGAAACUCAGUUGUUUAGCUUCUGUUUAUUGAGCAGCUCUAUACUACUGUUUGUAGUAUUGUAUAGCUACAGGUACUUUUGACGCUUCGUAUACAGGGAAAAGUCCUUUGUAUACGGCGGAUUUGUCGGCGUGCCCGGAGAACGAGACAUUCGGGGAGUGACAAUAUUUGUGUCAUGUGAUUUGAUCCGCAGCACUAAAAUACAGAAUAUUUUAUCCCAUUCUUUAAUUACUUGUAAAAACUUACAGAUAAGCAUUCUGCUCGUAGCUUGAUGUUAAAUUUUUUGACUAAGUUUUCGAAUGCUGCUUUUAUUUGAUUGUUGAUUUAUUCUAAUUAAAAUAACUGAUCUGAGUGAUUUUGAUUGAUUUUAUAAUUUAUACAUUAUAUAUGACUUUGUAAAAAAUCUUUAUAAAAAACCCGAAGUAUUCCCCUUUCUGAUAAAAAGGCCCAGCAUAGAUGCAAUGAGCAUUUUCCAGUCCAAUUUAGUAAACCUAGCACAGUCCAAAUACCGGAAAUGACUGUCCAACAAAAUACAGGUCCGGAGGUACAUAAUUUUAUAAAAUUUUAUAUUAUUUUUAUUUUAUAUUUAUAUAAAAAAGAUUUAAGUUCAAUAGUAAAAUAAAAAGUCGGUUACACGGAACCGUGGCUCUCCUCAGACAAUUAAGGGUCCCUUUGGCAUAGAUUUUACAAAAGUAAUUUCUGCAAAAUUAAUUUUAGUUUUAAAAAAUAAUUUUGGUUAAAAAUUGUAGCGCGUUUGAACUAGUUUAGAUAAAAAUAAUUUUUCUGAAAUGAUAUUGUAAAACUGUUUGACAAAAUUUUUUUGAUGUUUGCAUAUAUAUUUUUACUAAGUAUUAUUUUAAAAUAAUUUAAAAUGUAAAUUAAAAUUUAAAAUUUGUACAAAAUUUAAAAUUUGAGAUUUUAAUUUAAAAAUAAAUUUUAAAAUUAAAUUAAAAAUGAAAAUAAAAAUUGAAAAUUGAAAUUUUAAUUUUAAAGCUACAUAUAAAUUUUAAUUUGAAAUUGAAAUUUGAAAUUUGAAAUUCGAAAUUUGAAUUUGAAAUUUAAAAUUUAAAAUUUGAAUAAUGAAAUUUGAAAUACAAAUUUAAAAUUUAAAAUUAGAAAUGUGAAUUAAUUUGAAGUUUAAAAUUUUCAAAUUUAAAAUUUAAAUAUUUAAAAUUUUAAAAAUAAAUUAAAAAUUAAAAUUUGAAUAUUGAAAUUUAAAAAUUCAGAAUAAAUUCAAAAAUUGAAAUUAUAAAAUUUAAUUUAAAUGUAAACUUUGAAUCAAAAAUUAAAAUAAAAUUUGAAGUUUAAUAAUUCCAAAAUCAGAAUCAGAUUCAAGACACAUGUUUUAGCUGCUUUUAAUUUUGGACCUCGAAAAUUAGAAAAUUGAUUCUAAAACUCAAAUCGGAUAUUUGAAAACGAGAUUGCCAAACGUUUUAUUGAGUCAAAAUCACUUUUGAGUCGAAAAUCACUUUUGAGAAUAUGCAGGGUUACGAUCUUUUUUGGAUCAUCGUCACGCGAAUGCUUCAAUUGACACUAUCAACAAUUCAACACUGCGCUACUAAUGCUCCAAUGAGGCCACCAGAUGUACACAUCACUCAACGCAAGAUUUUGAAUCCGUGGAGAUGUUCAAAGCACGGAAGAAUAAGAGAAAAUGUUAAAUUUUUCUAUAUCUUGUCAUCUUUUUGUAUUUCAUUUUUUCUUGUAGUUAGAAAAUAUUUUAUGUAGUGUGUAUACUUGAGUACUUUUAUAACUAUUUUGAUAAUUUUUUAGAUUCUGCAGUUACUCAAAAAAGAGAAAGGGCGAGGUAAAAAUAAAUGUAGAAAGUUGCAAAGUUAAAAAGUGGUGAGAAGUUGGAAGUAACUUUCUACAACAAUCGUGCUACUGGAACGAAUCAUAAGACAUUUUCAAGACACUUAGGCAUGAUUGUGCGUGAUCGCAAUAUUUGCCCACUACGUAUUCAUUCAUGGAAAGAAAUUGGAGAAUCAGAGAAGAACCACAUGUGGGCAGCAGUCUGGUAAAAUAUUAUACCUUGACUCUUUAUGUUUACUACUUAAAUUUAUUAUUAUUAUUUUCUAAUAUUAUAUCAAUUAUAUAUAAAUUUAUGGACAAUGAUUUUUCUUCGUAGGACAAGUUUCAGAAUAAGGAUAUGGAGACUUAUCAAGAUGUAACUUUAGAACAUAUGAAUGAACUAUGGAACAAAUGGAGAGGAGACUUGUAUCGUAAAUUUAUAAAGCGUGCGAGAAUAUGCAGGAGCCUAAAGAUUGUUCCAGAAGGUGUACACCGAGAGGAUUGGGAGUGGCUUGUUAAAGAGCAUUUUUUUAGUGAAAAAUUUCUAGUAUGUUGUUUUGUUUCGUAAGAGCUAUUAGUUCCAUUUUUAGUAUGUUGUCUUUUUCACAAUAUUGGUUUUACACUUUAUAAUAUUUUUUAAAAUUUAGCAAUUGUGUUCUUGUACGCCCGGGUCCUUUGAGUUUAAAAGAUAGAGAAAAGCGUCAAAUUUUUUUUUUUUUUUUUUUGAAAACCUGACCCAGAGUAUGCCAGACCCCACAAUACAGGGAUUCCACUAUUUACACACGGACAGAGUCUUCUCCUAUUUUGCACGGCGUCGCACAGUACAACAGUACAAACAGGAUACAACCACAACUAAAUGAAUAUAGAAAUCACAUACAUUCAUACAUUCACCAUUCACAUCACAGAUAUUGCAUCAAUUCUAAACAUAAAUCCAUAGAAAUCUUUGAAAAUUGUUCCCUACACAGGAACCUUUAUUCUUUAAACGCUACCACGAGGGGUAGAAAACCUUUUAUUUUACAAAAUCCAGAAAUUCACAUUUUCAAAUGUAAAUAAAUACUGAACCACAUAAACCAACUAAACUAUACAUCGACCGAAAUAAGAAGGGUAAGAAACUAAACCGAACAACCUGGUCGGAAGCUCUAUCGACCACUACGAACGUACCUCACGUCUCGUCCCAUACACAUCGCCUGAUACACUGAAAAUAGUGGGAAGGUGAGAACAUGUAAACAUGUCUCCCUUCCAGGAGUGGUACCGCAAGCGCAAGAAGGCGAGGAGUACUCCACUAGUCCGGAGAACUAGAUAGAUAUAAGUGCUAGUAAGUAAGAUGCUGAUAAGUAGGGAGCUGACAAGUAUAGAUGCAGGUAAAUAAAACAGUAGACUACAUAAACAGUAAGGAUGUACUGGAAAUAAACACUACAGCUACUGUAUGCAUGUGUCGACUGCGAUAACCUCAAAAGUACCCAUCUCGCUGCUUAUGUUGGUCCGAAGACCUCAGGCCAAUGCCACACUGGCUCAACCUGUACCUGACCCUUGCAAUGAAGCCCUGGGUCAGAAGCAUAGUACCUGACCUCGCCAAUGAAGCCCUGGGUCAGAAGCAUAUACCCUCGCAAUAAAGCUCCUGGGCUCACGGUUGGCAAUCCAAACCACUUUUCCGGAAAAGAACACCCUCUUGCGGUGGAUCAGACGCUGGGUGUUCGUGAAAUGCGAUACCUGAGUGGCGAUCAAUGCAUAUGCUCAAGAAUCUUCCAUCAGCAACUAGCCGACAAUCCAGCCCCUCAGGGCACACCGACCGUAUAGGCCAUCAGCAACUAGUCAGCUACGUAUGUCAAGAUAGAACUGUAGCAACUCGACCGAUAGGUCAUAGAUAUCAAAAUAGGGGAACCGCCAACCAAAUCACAGAAUAUAGUGAACAGAUAAGUCGACUCUUACUUCUAAGCAUGAUAUUCAACAUGGAACCAUCGACCGCAUGGGUCAUCAUGUAACCAAUCGACCAACCGAGGUCACAAGUAUAGCGCUAUGAAACUCGACCAAUAGUCACAGUAUAGUAUAUGAACUCGACCAAUCAUGUUACAAGUAUAGGAUAUGAACUCGACCAAUCAUAUCACAAGUAUAUAAUCUAGAACUACCGUCGGCCACUAGCCGACAAUCGACCCUCAGGGUACACCGACCUCAACGGUCAUUCGGACAACAGAAGUAAAGGACCGACCAACCAGGUUACUGAUACGAGGUACAAGAAACCACUAACAGGUCACAAGUGUAGGAGAUGCAACGUCGACCAACUAGGUCAUGGGGAGAUUCACAUAGGAAUCAGACCAAUAUAUAAAUAUCAUAUACAGAUAAAGUCUACUCUACUCCUACACUGAUACUACACCUGGCAACAAUAAGUAGAGUAAUAAGGAAACGUCGCAUGGGUGCAAAGGCUCAACAUAUAUAUGGUAAAAGAUAUAAACAACAAGGGUAAAGAACGUCACGAGCGUGCACCAUGUACAACGUCGGAUCGAAGUACCCACCUGUACAACUGUCGCGCCUGGUCUCCUGACUGCAAAGAACGUCAACAGGACCUAAGGGAGGUCCACUGGUUAGUGUCUUAUACAACUAAGAAACCCUAAAGCAUAACCCACAAAAUAAACACGAGAAUCGAUUUCCCAAAACGAUUACCGAACAAACCGGAAGUCCCGAAAACCGCACCGGAACUUCACGUCGCCUUACCGUCGUUUCAAACCACGAAACAUGUGGGUGACCAGCCAACAAGGCUCAGCGAUGAAACAAUGAUCCCCAAGUACCGUCGGAAGAAUUCCAAAUCGAAAACGCGUUCUAUCGGCGGAUUUCGCCGAAAAACGCCCCGGAAAUGCAUUUUCGGUCUUCGCAAAGGUCCGGGGCCUUGGACAAUCAGUCCGGAGGUUAUCCUCAGCUACUUGCUGCAAAGCAGCCACGACGGACAAAGUUGCAUUAAAAGCCCUUCCGAAUACCCGAAAUCGCAUUAUUUCUCAUGCGAUUUCGGGCCUUUUAUGGUCCGUUUACGCAAACCAGAGGUCAAUCAGCCGAGUCAAUAAUCCACUGACAGGUUUCGAUGUGCCGGAGGCCCGUGCUCACCUUUCGGCAGCAAUAUUGGCCAUAGCGGAGAGCGCGGGAGUGCGCGAAAAUUCUGCGAACAGCGCGCGCAUAGCAUGAAAAACAUGUUUAUCUCGCUAACCAGGGCUCGCUGACCUAAUUGAGGUGACGACUGUGAUCAGGACUGACAGACUAUCACCGUGCUCACCCCCGGAGGCAUCGGAACAGCCUCGGGUCGCCGGAACAGUGAACAGAACUGGAGACUAUGCACAAAAGGCUGAAAUCAAGCUUACAAAGCUAGGCAGGGCUCGGGGUUGGCCGGCGGCGGCCGGACGGCGCAGGCGGCAGGGGAAGUGCUCCAGGUCAGAGGAGCGGGGCUCGCGUUAACAGGCGACGCGGAGCGGCGACGACGGCGGGCAUUGAUGCCUAGUUGUACAACCGAGGAGAGCAUGGCUCACCCGGUGAACAGGAGCUCCGCGGUGGGGGCGCCGGCGUGGAUGAGUGCGGCCGGCCAGCGGAGCCGGUGCUCACGCUGGACGGCGGCGGAAGACGGCGCGGCGGUGCUGGACCAACGAGCCCGCGCGGGUUCAUUGCGGGCUCCAGAGGUGGCGGUGCCCAUGGCGGCGGCGAGAAAGGUCGGGCUUCGGCGGCACCUCGCGGAGGUGGAGGAAGGGCAAAUCGGCGGCGGGAACGGACGCGCGCGCGGAGGCAGAAGCUGCCCAGCUCGGCCGCACUCGUCUGGGCGGCCGCAGAGAGGGGAGGCGGCGGCCGGGCGGCGAGGGCGGCCGGCGAUGGCGCGCGCGGGGGCAGGCAGAGGCCAUACGAGGCCGCGGGACGAGGGUGGGCUGUGGCGCGCGGGCCACAACUAGGGCUGCGCUCGGUCUCGGUCGGUCUGGCUGGCGCGGCAGAGCGAGGAGGGUGCGGGCGGCGCGGUGUACGACGGAGGCCGGCGGGAAUCGCGCGGAGGUAGCCUUCUGCCACAGGUGAAGGAUCUCGGGGUUCGCGCACUUCCCUGCGUACUCAGGCGAGAGGGUAGUGGAUCGGUUUAAGAGAAAGAUGGAGAGGUGGGCGGGUGGCUUUUUCCGGCGACGGGCUGCUCGCCGGCGGCGAGGCGUGCGGCGGGGUCGCGGGGAGGGGUGCAGGUGACGGCUGGGGCGCAGUUGGAGGAAGAGGGAGGCAACGUUAGGGUUUCCUCAUGAAACCCUAGUGCAACACUAUACACAUAGAUGCAUUUUGCAAUAGCUCUCCAGGGGUAAUAUUCUCAGUCAAGUCCUCACAGCGAGCGUAUUUUACAAUAUGCAUCUCCAUGUCCGAUCUCACGCAAUUCGGCACAUAAAUAUAGGGUCUCUUCGCGAUUUAUCCGUUUGCCACUUUGACCCUCAGCGAACAUCUCGCUUUUUUCGAAGAUCCGUCCGUUGGAUUCGAUCCGACAGUGCCAUCGAUUCAGCAUGACGAGGGUAAUAAAACUACAAUCUUGUUUCGUCAGAUUUGGUCACAGAUUCGCGACGGAACCCAUCCGCUCUCUAAUUAAUCCGUAUAACGCACAUAUACCAAAGUAUAAACCCUAAAUCUUAAUUCAAAUUCAAAUUUGAAUUCCUACCACCAGUAGUACCAGAAACAACUCUCACCUACCCCAGGUCACAAGCACAGAGCACGAGGAGUUUUAAAAUGCACGAAUGAGCAAAGAGCGGAAACCCUCUUUUUCUUAAAAACUCCUUUUUCUCAAAAACCGUGCAUCGGAUCUGAAAUUCGUGUGCCAUCGGUUCCAGAAUAGCUGACCGUUCGAAACGAGCUAUUGGAUCGCUGCAUGACAGAGUCUGAUACGCGCCAGAAGCCUAUUUAACGCAUUGGCCUCUUCGAAAAACCGGAGUUACUAUUCACUUAGUGAAUUUAAAAUCGCGUAACUUUCCAUUUUAGCUCAUUUUUCUCCUGAAACUUGCGAGUGCUUAUGUAAUUAAAUUACACACAUAAACAUUGUCAGCAGAGAGUUUAGUUGCACUGUAAAAAUCUCGUCCUUACAGUUCUAUUUGAUAAAUGCGCAGGCGGCCAAGUAGAGAAAACUAUGAAAAAUAGAGCCAAACUAUCAAUGCCCAUCGUAUGUUAGUAAGCCAUUCCACAAAUUAUUUAUUAAAAGGUAAUGUAAAUUGACAUAAUAAGCUUUUUAGAUUUUGUUGUAAUCAUUAAUUGAUAUGAACCAAUGUUUUGUGUAGGAGGCAAAGAUAGUAAUCCACAAGCUUAGCGACAAUUUUCUUUGAGACUCGAAAAAGAUGGACAACUUGAAGGAGUAAUGCAAACAAGAAAUAUGUUAAGUCUUUGCACUUACUUUUGUUAUAAUUGAUUCUAUUUGUGCAUUCUUUAUUAACUAAUUUUGUAUAUUAAAUUUUAUUUGAAGAAUAAAAUUCUUGAAGCCUCACAAUCACAACGGAACUAUCCAAUAUAGAGCUCAUUGAAAAUGCUUGGAACUCAAUGUCAUCAACAUGUUGUUUGCUAUGGGGGUGGUGUGAAGUCGACUGAUUUGAAACCUUCUUACUCUUUUAGAGCUGAACUUAAUGCCAACUCUGUGAAACUCAGAAGGAAAAUCAAUCACUUAGGAGUCGUAUGGAUGGAAUGGAGGCGGAACUACAAAAAUUAAGGAAAUGCUCCAGCAACAUCAUAAUAUUUUCUCCCCUUCUCCAUCUGAAGGUUUGUUUUAAUGUUUCUCUAGACUUUAAUAAACUUUGAUAGUCUUUAUAAUAUGCAUUCUUCACAUAAUAUCUUUUAUAUACUUCAUUUCAUAGACUUAGUUAAAGUUCCUCUUGUCUUUCACGAUAAUCAUAGUUAUAAGAUUUUAAUUGGAUAUUCAUAUUAUGAUUAUUCUCGUUGCAUCAGUCAAUACAUACCUUAUCUUAUUGUAAGUAAUUGAUGGUGAUAAGUUGAAGAAUUGAAAAUCUGAUCCAACGUUGAUUAGGCGUGCUGUCAAGUUUAUCAUUUUGGGUCUUCGUUUGAAAAACAAAACUCUCACAAUUUAUUCUAUUGAUUUUUCAUUUUUAAACUUUUAUGGUUUAGAAGUUGCUUAGUUUGUUGGUAUGAUUAGACUUGCAAUGGAUGGAUACAAUUCCAUACUUGUUAGUUUUAUUUUUUGAAAAUAUGGAUGAUGAAUAUUGAGUUCUUAAUUUAUCUCUAAUUAGUUUGGAAUUGUGCUAUUUCAUAUUUUUCACCCUCCGCAAGAUGAGCUUAAUAUAUUGCUCUUCUCUCUCCUUUAUGUGUGUGUUAUAUAUAUAUAUAUAUAAUAUAUAUAUAUAUAGCGACGGAUUGUUGUCGUUGUUGAAUCAUAAACUGUAAAUUCUAAAUAUUUUAUCGACGACAAUUUUCGCUCGUUAAAUGUUUAGUUUAUUAGCUGAAAAAAUAUUUUUUAGCGACAGUAUACGCCGUCGUUAUUUUAGUUUUAUCCGUCACUAACAUAAGAUUUUGCAUAUUUUUAUAUAAAAAACGACAAAUAAAUGUCGUUAUUACUAAUAAUAUUGGUCGUUAUUAUAUACAUUUACGACGGGAUUGUUCUCGUUAAAUACUUUUAGUGACGGAAAUUAAGCCUCGUAAUAGUUUUAGCGAAGGAAGAUUUAACGACGGAUGGCGACGGAAAUUUGUACGGUCAUUAAAAGUUAUUAGCGACAAAUAUACUAGUUAUAACGAUCAUUAUUCUCUUCGUUAAUAUCAUAUUUUCUUGUACUGAUUAUUUUUUAAAACCAGACUAAACGCCCUCCUGAUCAUAGUUAGUUAAUUCGCGAAUAAUUCGCGAAUUAUUCGCGAAUUUUUGAAGAAACGAAUUUAACAGCCGUUACGUAUUAUUCCAAAAAUUCGCCAAAAAUCGCGUUUUUCGUCAAAAGUACUUGUUCGCGAAUAAUUCACGAUUCGCGAAUUAUUCGUCGAAAAAAUCGGCCCUGUGGGCUUGCAGGUAGCGGGCUCGCGGACGGGUCGCGGACUCGUGCCGGGUCGCGGCGCUAAUGGGCUGGCCCAAAACAGAAAAACAAAAAAAAAAAAGAGAAAGAAGAGCGAAAAAGGGUUUUGCAAUUUGCCCUAACACUUCACCCGCUGGCCCUGCUGCCGACCCCAGCCCAUCCCUUCCCUCCUCCUUCCUUCCUUCCCUCUUCCCUUGAGCCAUCGGAAGCCCCCGCGUUGCCACAUCGAAGAUCGGGUUCUUCAUUCUUCAGAAUCAGAACCUCCUCGUCGCCUCUUCCUCUUCGCUUCCGCCUCGCUCUCCAACAUCGCAUCAGAUAAUUAGGUUGUUCUUUACAAGAAUUUUUAUGCUUUAGUUUCUCUCUCUCUUUCUUUCCUUUAUUUCAUCUUCUCUUAAUUACUAACUGUAUGGUUUUGAUCAGUAACAAGACCAUGACUACAACAUGUAGCAUCAUUGUAAACAUGCAUUUGUUAAGAUUCAUUACUUCCUUUUUAUCUUUAAUCUCUACAGUAUACAUGAAUAUGCCCAGCAUACAAGAAUAAUCAGCAAAUAAGGUUUUAAGAAUUAAGUCCUCAAAAGGUUUGAUAUGCUCAGCAGGUUUGAAAGUCACAAGCAUAUGCAUUGAUUAAAAACCAAGGGAGAUCUAGCAAACUUAACAAAGGUACAUGGGUGUUAAUUGGCAAUACUGGGAAUUUCCGAUAAAUUUGGAGAAAUAGCAAUAUGGAGAUACAGAUUUGAGUUUGCUAUUUGCUUAAUUAUAUAUUUAUUUUGGAACAUAAUACAGUUUGCUAAUUUUUUACUUAAUUAACUUAAUUUUAUAGCUCUUUAUUCUUAUAUUUUUAAGAAUUAUGAGUAUUUAUACUAAUUGCAUAAAACUUGAGAGAAAAAAAAAAACUUAAUUUAAUAGCCGAAUUUUUUAUCCCGAAUUUUUAAUUAGUGAACGUAUAAUAUCCGUAUAAAUCACGUAUCCGAAUAAUUGGCGAAUCCGUUUUUUUAACCGUAUUUUUCAACGAAUUUAAAAAUUAAUAGACGAAUUAUAUCCGAAUUAUAUCCGUACCGAAUUUUUGCCGAAUCCGAAUUAACUAACUAUGCUCCUGAUAAUGGCCAUAGGAAUGCAAUACUAUUCAACUUCAUUUAGUGCUAUUCAACUUCAUUUACCUAGUCCAUCCCAGACCAGUCGGUAGCAUAGUUGAUUUGGUCCCCGAAUACCCAAUAACUAUCUUCUCGAUGCAAUUAAUCAAAUAUAUAAAUAGACCCAUAAGAUCUAGCAAUAUCACUCAACUUUAUUAAGAUAGAAUUAUAUGUUUCCUCUUAUUUGUUUCUUCCGGUAUUCUCCAUUCCCUCCCGUUAAUUCUUUUAUUAUACUUUGUUAUAGCUGUUGCAGCUAAUCAUGACCUUCCUUACCAAUAUGACACAGCACACAGCAGCCACCGUUUUCACAGUUGGUAAGGAACUACCCACUUUUUUUCUCUUUUCUCUUUUUAACUUUUUGUUUUUCUCUUUUUGGCUUAAUCUUUGUGGUUUAACUCCCUUCCUUAAAUUUAUUGUCCAUAAAUUAUUGCUAAAUUUUUAAAAUAUAUUAUCAAGUACCAAUAGCUAUUGUUUGCUAUAUUUGAUCAUGGGAAAACCAAUAAGAGAAAGAACAGUUGCAAGUUAGUUAAAAGGAGGUCUGAAUAUCAAUAAAUUAAUUAAUUACCAUAUAUAACGUAGAGCAUGUAUUUGAAAUUAAUAUUUUUAGAAAUUUUUAAUAUUUUAAUAAGGAUAUAAAAUUAUAUAUGGAAGAAGACUAAGCCAUGAAAGAACAAGGGUUGAGGAGUUUUCUGCAGGUUUUUAGUACUGAGAGAGAAUAAAAUGCAAAAAGUAAUCUAUACAAAAGGUUUUCCUGCAAUUUACCUGCUUUUUUUUUUUUUUUUUCCUUUCAAAGAAACUAAUGAAUUAUAUACAUGGCCAGCUCUUUGGUAUUUCAACGCGCACUUAUAUAAUAUAUAUUAAUUCUUCUCUCUUUGUCAAAAUUCUCAUAUCCUACAAACCGUUGCUAUAAAUUCUGCAGUGUUCUUGGUAAUAUUCGGGACUACGAUACUUUCAGUAGCUAUUCGCUUAAUAAUUUAUGCCAAAAAAGUAUACUUGAGAAGAAAUGAGCAUACCACGAUCACCACAAAUCCAUCAACACCAACUAACAGAGCGGUUGCAAACGAGACUCUCGACACAAACUCCGUAGAGAAACUCCUCGAAGAGGUCGCUCCACUGCAGUUCUCGCCAGAGCAACUCACCGGAUUCACCACCAACUACGUGACCAAGCUGGGGUCUGGAGGGUUUGGUGCAGUCUACAAGGGUUGGCUCCCAAACAAAGUAAAGAUUGCGGUAAAGGUCCUAAGGGGAGAUAAUUUGGAUGAGAGAAUCAAGGAGCAGUUCAUGGCGGAGGUGGGAACGAUCGGGAGAACGCACCACAUCAAUCUCGUCAGGCUCUACGGCUUCUGCUUCGAACAGGAACUUAAGGCACUGGUGUUCGAAUAUAUGAAGAAUGGCUCGCUCGACCGUUAUUUGUUUGAUCACGAAAAACACCGCACGAACGUUGCAGCAUUGCAUGAGAUUGCAGUCGGUACGGCGAAAGGCAUCAAAUACUUACACGAGGAGUGCGAAAAUAGGAUAAUCCACUACGAUAUAAAGCCUGAAAAUAUCCUUCUUGAUGCGAAUUUUACUCCUAAGGUAGCCGACUUCGGCCUAGCGAGGCUUCUAAGUAGGGCGAACACUCAUAUCACCAUGACAGGGAUGAGAGGGACGCCGGGGUACGCCGCACCAGAGAUGUGGGUGCCCGGCGCUCCUAUCACGUACAAGUGUGACGUCUACAGUUUCGGCAUCAUGUUGUUCGAGAUAGUCAGAAGGCGGAGGAAUUUCGACGAGCGCGCUACCGAGAGCCAACAGUGGUUUCCGACAGAGGCGCUCAAGAGAUUCGUGGAGGGCCGGUUGGGGGAGGUGAUGGCGUCGCUGCACGGGGUUCAAGAAUGGGAGAGUAUGGAGAAGGCUGAGAGGAUGUGUAAGGUGGGGCUCCUGUGUGUGCAGUACCGCCCGCAGGCGAGGCCGGAGAUGAGUAUGGUGGUGAAGAUGUUGGAAGGGGAGAUGGAGGUUACGGCCCCUCCGACAAACGCAUUUCAGCACUUCAUGGGUGUAGAAAUAGAGGGAAGAAGUAGCAGCACGAAUCCGGUGACUUCUGGCUCCUCCACGAGAUAAAUGGCAGUACAGUCUUGAAAUCAUUGUAAAGUUUUGUUUACGUAACACUUUUACAAUUUUUUAUUUUUUUUAUUUUUUUGAAAAGUUCGUCAUAAUAUGAUUUUCUGCUUUCAGAACAAUGGCAUCGUUUGGUUGCUUGAAAAUAGUUAAAGUAAAAAAGUCACUUUUAUUACGAAAGAUAUUUAUACAAAAAUAAAUUUUGAAUUCGAUUGUUUUGUUGGCCGUAAAUUGAAAUACAGAAAAUACAACAAAAAUUAAUAAAUUUUAGUUAUACUUUUUAGUAGCAUUUAUGAAAAUUCGCUGGCAUUUUUUGUUAAGUGUCUAUAUUUGUAGCAUUUUUUUAUAAAAAGCUACUGAGUUUUGGUUAAAAAAAAAAAAAAAAAAAAACUAUCUCAUUCCCUUGUAUUUUUCCCUCAAUUGCUUCUAUAGCCAUCAAAAGACUAUUCUACCCUUAUUUCAAAUUGGAAGUAUAAUUUGACACAAUGGGUCUUUUGGUCCUUUCAAAAAUAAAAGAAAACCUGACAUCUGAAGAAUGCCCUCAUCAGAGUUCUCGUUGAGAUCGCCAGCGGUGAGCGCUCCACUUCAACGGUGGGCAGUGGGCUCUUCUCAUUUCAGAUCGUGGAUUUCAACAAAGACCUCAGUGAUUUCAAGUUGUGAUCGUUAAUUCCUUUUGCAAAGGUAUUAUUCAUGGUUUUUUUGUUUUGUGUGUGUGUGCGCGCGCGCGCGCGCGUUUGUUAUGAGAGUUUGGAAGUUAGUGUUCAAAUAUUAGAAUGUUAGUUUUCUACAAAAAUUUCUACUUGGUUUUAUACUUAAGAGAGACUUUAUGGUCACUUAGUUUUAAUUCAGAGCUCUAGGGUUUUUGUCCCCUUUUUUAUUCCUCUAUCAAGUUUUAUUUAAUUCCUCCAUUGUGUGAUUUUAUAAUUUUUUUUUUUAUGGAUAAUAUCUAAUAUAUCUUUCAAAAUUUUAAAAAGAUCUAAUAUGUCCUUGGCGGACCAAAUUAUUGAUUUUCAAAAAUUUCAUCAAAUAUGUACUCAUGAUCCUACAGUUUACUAACGAGAUUUGGAGUUUAGAAGGGUAUUUUGGGAAUAGAAAGGUAUAUUUAAAAUUUUUGGAUAGUAGUGAAAGGUAUAUAUAAGCAAAAGCUCUAAUUUUUUUACGUCUAUUCUCUGCAAUGGCAUGGUUAAGAGUGCAGUGAUUAGUUAAUUGAGAUUUUGAUUGUUUUGGAGUACUUUAUGGUUGCUUUUUAGAUAGGGAUAUGUUACAGUGAGUUCAUGUCUAAAAUACUUUCUAGGAAGAUUAUUAAUUAUUGAGUAAUGCUUCUAUACUUUUUUUUUUUUGGUUAUCGUUCAUUCACGCGUAUUCAACAGCUCAGAUUUAGUUUUUUUAAAAUUGUGACCUGCAAUAGUAGGUCACUUUGGGAGAGGUACCGGUUACCAGGUACCUCAAAAAAUGAUAUUUUUGUCUUUUAAUAUAUGAGCAAUAUAGUCAUUUUACAUCUACUAUAUUUUCAAAAUUUUUAUUUUUUCUUUGUUUCCUUUUUCUCUCUCUAUCUUUUUUUUCAUAAUUUGGCAUUUCAUAUAAGAAAAUUUUCAAAUGAUUUGGCAAUAUGAUCAUUGAAUUUAAACUUUAAAUAGUAAUGUGAAAUUCCUCUAAUUUGAAUUUCACUUUUAAAUUUAAAAUUUAAUAUUAUAUUCAAAUUUAUAUUUUAAAAAUUUAAGUUUCAUAUAAAUACUUUGAAAUAUGGUAAACAGAAAUAAUUGUUUGAAUUCUAGUCUUCUGGUUUAGGUUUGGUUUUGGGUUUCGAAAAAUUGGUCAGUUUUGAAUUUGGAUAUGGAUUUUUGAAAUCCGUCGAGUUCGGAAAUAAGUUUUGUGAUUGUUAGUCAGAUUCGAAUUCAAAUUCCUAACUAUUUUUUUUCUCACCAAUAAUUCUAAUCUUUUUAAUUUAUAUGUUUAAAAUUAUAUUUAAAAUAUUUAUUAGCUCUAACAGUUAAAUUAUCAUUCUGUUUAAAAUAUUUAUUAUCUUUACCGGUUCCAAAUUGUUCUUAAUGUUAUUCGGUUCAAUAGGUUAAAAUCAGAUUCUUGAUAGAAUAGGUCAAAGUCUGAUCAGUCAAAUCAAUCGGUUCAAUCUAGUUUUUAAAUCAUUGAAUUUAAAAUUUAAAUAGUAAUAUGAAAUUCCUCUAGAGAAAUCUAGUUGUAGAAAUCUUACUCUCUAAGUUUUUUAUGCAUUACGUUUUAAACUGGUGCGAAUAAACUGUAUUUUAAAUCUUGGUAGAAAUUUAGUUUUUAAAUAGUAAUAUGAAAUUCCUCUAAUUUAAAUUUCACUUUUAAAUUUUAAAUAUUUAAUUUUUAAAAUUUAAAUUCAUCGUAUUUAGAAAUAAAACUAUUUCUAAAAUUUCUAUAAUUUAAAUUAAUGCAUAAUUUGAGAAACACUAAAACAUUUAAAGUAGAUUCCUAAAUUAAUGCCUAAUAAUUGCAUAAAUUUGGUUAAUCAAUUAAUUUUCUAAAUUAGUGCUAAUUAAUGCAUAAAUUUAGGACCUCAAUUAAAAGUUUCUUUAAAUAUUGUAUUAUUUAAUUACCAAACUAACCUUGAAUAAAAUAAUUUUUUUACCUGCUAAGUAUUAAAGUUACAUUUUUACCCUCUGUUAAUCAACGGUUAAAAUCUUUUUUAUUUUUUUUUUAAAAAAGUACCGAAUCAUUUCUCUUAAUUAUUAAGGUUAAAUCAUAGUUCAUUAAGGUCAUCUUAUUUUUUCCUUCUUUUAUUGACUUUAAAGAAUUUAUUUUUAUUUACUUGUGGUAAGCUACUCCAAUAGCAUAUUAAAAGACAUCAUAACAUAGAAGGCAUAGUAUAUUCGAGAUAGAAUAAGAAUUUCACAAGAUUCUAAAGAACUAUUAGUGGUAGAAGAUUUGUUCAAUUUUUUUAAAAUAUAAAAAAGGUGUUAGAGGUGGUCCCUGAGUAUUAUGUUAUUGCAAACUUACCUACAGAGAGGAUUCCAAAAUGAGGCCUUGAACAUUUUGUUUUUCGAUUGUCACUUAGUCAAUUUUCAUUUGUUUCGUUUGAAUUACUACAGGUGAUGGUUUCUUAGGCUAUAAUUCAUUUAUUAUUCCGACUUGUUUGUUAAACAGUUAUUAAAAAAAUUAAAUUUGGUGAAUCAUAGAAUAAUUGUUGAAGCUUCUAACUUAUUUGGCAAAAAUAAUUCCAGUUUAAAAAUUAAACUUUAGGGAAUGCCAUUGAAUGAAACACAGAGAAAGUUGAGGAGCGGACAUUUCAAAAUGCCUGUAACUUUUCCUCUUUAGCUAUGUGUUACUCUAUUUAGUGUUUUUAUUUUUACUUUUUCUCUUGGUGGUUUCUUUAUUUUCAGCACUUGCUAUGUUAGAAAUACUAGCAAAAUCAGGACUGAUUUAGAAUAUCUACUGUCCAAUGACCCAUAAAAGAGUAUAAUACAAAGGCAAUAGUAUUAUAUUUAAUACUUAUAGCAUAUAUUUGUUUAUGUUGAGACCAAAUCUACUCUCAUUGAGUUCAAGUCUAUUAUAGCUAGCAAGUAACUUCUUGGUUUUAAUUUAUGAUUGUUCUAUUAUAUAAAAAAUUUGUGUGCUUAAAUAGCUCAUCUUGUGAUAUAGUUUUAUUGAUUACUUGCUUUUUUUUCUUUUUUCUUUUUUCUUUUUUCUUUUUCUUUUUGUAGAAGCUUGGAGAAGUUUAACCUUAAUUUUAGUUCUUGUAAGCUAUCACAUUUACAUAUGUUUUGAUUUUAAUUUCUUUUUCCCUGUGAAAUGCUAAUAAGUUCAUAUAGCAAUUUCUCAUAGAUCUGAUUUUGAUCUGUUUUGUUAAGGUUAAUCCUUGUAUUAGCUGCAACUAUUUGUAGAUCUAAACACUAUUAAAGAUUACUUGGAUUGGCCAAGAAGCAGCAUACAAUACUUGGUAGGUGUAAAUGAGUUUCUUGGUUUUGCAUUUUCGAAUCCAUCUAUUGCUAGCUAAUAAGAUUCGAUGCCGGUGUGUGAAGUGUGUUAAUUGAACAACUUUAAGUAGAGAAUGUAUCUAAAGUAUUUGAAACUUCUAAAAAAUAAAUUUCGUAACUUUUCGAAAUCAUAAUAAAAUCUAUUAAACAGGAAUAAAAUGAACAAUCAAAAUUGAACGACGUCCUAAAAAUGGAUGAUCAAAUUUUCAAUUUAAGAUCGGAGUUAUUGAUCUUUAUUUCGAUAGUGAAUAAAAUUUUUUAUCAAAAAUUCAACCUAUUCUAAUUCUUUUACACCAUUAAACUAGCAAGUAUUCCAUACCGGUCGUUAAAAAUUGUCCAUUUUGUGACCUUUUGAUCGCAAGGUAAAUAAUGUCAAAAAGUUAUGAAAUUUGAUUUUUAAAAAUUUUAAAUGCUCUAAACAAUGUUUAAAGGUAUAGAUCGUCGAUUUAGAAGCUCUAUUAUCGAAAACGACUUAUGAGUACAAGGGCGAUUGUACUCAUAAGAGUAUCGUAGCCAGGCUAUAUAUAUAUAUAUAUAUAUAUAUAUAUAUAUAGUUGGACUGGGCUACUAUUAAUAGCAAAAUUUUAUUGUUGCUACCAGUUUUUUAGCAUUUGGAUCAACUCUUUUCAUUAUUUCUAACAAUUGGAUUAAAUACUAUAACCCAAUGGGGACCACUCAACCCUAGGGGGACCACUCAAUUCUAACCGACUAAUAUCAUCCUGACCCUACAAUUUUUCAUCCAAGGGUUAAAAACUUGAUAGCAAAAAGAGUGUUUUACUAUUAAUAGUAUUCCAGCCUAAUUCAUAUAUAUAUAUAUUUAUUAUAUUAAUAUAUAGAGAGAGAGAGACGAGAGAGAGAGAGAGAGAGAGGGUGAGAGCCUGAAGAGGAGGACAGGGAGAGACGAAGAGGGGGGCUUUUAGAAUAUAUUGAUUAGACAAAAUACUUUUUAAUUUCAAGGUUGUUACCUUUGGAUCGAAAUUUUUCAGAGAAGGUGAAUAGGAUUGUAUUAGGUACUUUUAGGGUUGAGUGAGGAGUCCCCCUAGAGUCCAGGUCAGUGGAAUGUACCAAAUUAGGUACGGGUCAGUGGAUCCCCACUGAAGUUAUAAUAUUUAAAAAUGGCAUAAUAUUUAAAUCAAUGCAUGGUUAGGAAUUGAUUUGAAAAAUUAAUCCAACAAGCUGCUAAAAUUAAAUUAGCAAUAUAGAGCUUUGUGAUUAUGUAGCAUUCUAGCUGAACUAUAUUAUGUAGAUUAGAGAGUUAGGCUAAAGAAAAAAAAGAUUAAGAUCUAACGGACGGAAAUGAUAAUUAAAACUCUGUAUCCAAAUACUUUUCUAAAAUACUCAAUACGUCUAGAUAUUUAACGGAAGCCGUUGUUCGAGAUUUGGAAGCAUCCAUCUGUCGGGAAAACGGACCUUAGGAGCACGGAGAUUCAUGUCUAUAAACACAAGACUACAAAUAUCUAUAUUAUUAUAUAGUAUUAUUAAUUAUAUAUAUAUAUAUAUAAUAUAUUACAUAAUAUAUAUAAUAAUAUAUAGUGCGAUCUGGAUAAUACUUCUUGAACCGUGAGCGUUUCCAUACUUCCAAGUCGUUUUCGUUUAGGACUAUCGCAACCGACAGAUCGGAUCCCGUUAGACUUUGAUCUUAGAGUAUUUAACGUUAACCCCAGAAAAUAACUUUUAUGAUUUUUUAUAAACAAUUUUUUUAUAUCACUUGCUAGUGAUCAAGGGGCUACAAAUCAAAGGUAAAAUUAAAAAAAUUACCAAAAUAUAGUAUGAUGAAUAUGACGUUAAAUUAUUAGAUCAAAUUUAUUUGAAUCAUUCAUUUAAUAUUAGUCUAUUUAAAAGAAUCAUUUUUAUCAAGAAUGGUCAGUGAUUUGAAUAUUUUUACAACCUACGAUCUAUCAACUUGAACGGAUACCACGGCUCAUCCUCUGUGUUAAAUGAUUGAUUUUGCUGAGCCCUUCAAUCAACUAGCGAAAAUUGAUAUCGAAACAAAAAUCACAAAAUUUAUUUAUCUAGCGGUACUUCAAAUAUUCUAGAUCAAGUGUCACUGAUGAUACGGAGAUCGAUCGUCGAUUCAAAAGUCAACAUCUGAAACGACUUGGAAGCACGGAAGGGUAGUUGCCUGAGAGCAAUACGCCCCUAUAUAUAUAAUACCUAUAAUACCAUUAUCAUACUAAGUACUAUAUAGAGGUCGGUACUUAAUGCUAUUCAAUAGCUGAUAAACUUUGGAGGUGUACCAGUAUUCGCAUCGUUAGAUUAGAAUCCCUUCUUGGAUCAUUUUACCAAUUAGAAUACAGUACUAUUCAAGCAACCCACCAUCAACCCUUCGGCGGGCCACAUUUCAUCCUUAAACCACACUCUCUUAAUCCAAUGCCAAAAACUUAGGUAGCACACCUCUAUGACUCGAGUGACCUAAUUUAAUACGAUAUAUUAGCCUAGUGUUAUAUAUAGUAUAAUAAUAAUAUAGAAGAGAGAGGAAGUAGAAGAGGAGAGUAGAGAGAAGAAGCGAGACAGGAGGGGAGAAAGAGAGAGAGAGAGAGGAAUCUUGGUAUUUCUGGACAGCACGGGCCUACGUGACUUCCAAGUCGUUUUGAUAUGGACUUGGUUCGAAAUCGACGACAGGGCAUUCCAUGUUCGACGAUAUAGAGUAUUUUAAGUAUUAGGAAAUAUUUUGAAGAUUUUUUGAUAGCAUGCUAGUGAUCAAGUGGUCAAAAUCACACGGCUGAAAAAAUAAAAAUCUUAUAAAAAUUGAUGAUAUGAUAUAAAAAUUUUAGAUCAGAAAUAUUGAUCUUAUUUUAUAUAGUAUAAAAAAUUUUCUAUCAAAGUUUUACGUGAUUUGGAUAUUUCUACACCGUUAAACUUGUAAACGGCUCACCACGGUCAUUAAAAUUAUUCAUUUUGAGCCCCUUCGAUCACUAGGCAAAUGAUAUCGAAAAAUCACAAAAUUUAUUUUCUAGAUAUUUCAAAUACUCUAGAUCAAGUUUGAGAGAGAGAGAGAGAGAGAGAGAGAGAGAGAACUAGGCUGAUAUACUAUCGAUAGCCCGGAGGCCUCCGUGCUACCAAAUUGUUUUCAAUGUUGCGGUUUUCAAAUCGACGAUCGGUUCCAUUAGACUUGAUCUACAUUAUUGAAAGUAUCAGGAAACUAAAUUUCAUAACUUUUCGACAUCAUUUACCUAUCAAACAAGUAAUCUAAAAAUGAACGGCUGAAAAUAAAAAUCUCAUAAAAAAUGAUGAUAAAAGAUUUGAAUUUAAAAUCAGAAAUACUAAACUUACUCUAAAUAGUGAAAAAAAAAUUCAAUAAAAAUUUUAUCAGAUUUGGAUUAUUUUACACCGUUAAAUUCACAAACGCAUCACAUCUACUAUUAAAAUUGUUAAUUUUGAGACCCUUUAAUCACUAGCCAAAUGAUGUUGAAAAAUUAUGAAAUUUAAUUUUCAAAUACUUUUAAUGGUGUAAAUCAAGUCUAACAGAGCCGAUCGUCGAUUUGGAAGUCGCAUCAUUGAAAAAAACUUGGAAGCACGGAGGUCUUCGUGCUACCGAUAGUAUACCAGCCUAGCUCUCUCUCUCUCUCUCUCUCUCUCUAUAUAUAUAUAUAUGCAAUUAACACUAAUAUUAUUAUUCUAUUGGGACCACUCAAUCCUAAGUGGGAUCGCUAUCAUCCCGAUCCUAUAACUUUUAAUCCAACGGCCAAAAAGUCGGAAAUACCAAUUCCCUUUAUGAUUUUGAAAGUGAUUUUGAAAGCAUAAUAUCUCUACUAUAUAUACAUAUAUAUAUAUAUAUAUAUAUAUAGACACACACACACACACACACACAUCACUAUGCUUUCCAAAGUAUAAAGAAGUUUGUAUUUUCGACUUUUUGUCUUUUGGAUCAACUCUUUUGACAAUUUCUGAUUUUUGGAUUAAUAUUAUUAUCCUAGGAGGACCACUCCAUCCUAAGAGGGAACCACUAUCACCCCGAUCAUAUAAUUUUUGUCAAAAAGUCAGAAACACCAACUUACUUAUACUAUUGAUAGUAUAAUAGCUCUACAAUAUAUAUAUAUAUAUACAGUGCGUCUGGAAUGCCUCUGGAAGCACGGAGCACUCCGUUCUUCCAAGUUGUUUUCGAUAUUUGGACUUUCGAAUCAACGAUCGGCUCCAUUAGACUUGAUCUAGAGUAUUUAAAAUAUCUGGAAAAUAAAUUUUGCGAUUUUUCGAUAUCGUUUGCCUAGUGAUCGAAGUGGCUCAAAAUCAACGGCUGAAAAUAAAAAUCUUAGAAAAUAUGAUGAUAUGACAUUAAAAUUUUAGAUCAAAGUUAUUGAUCUUGUUUUAUAUGGUAUAAAGAAUUUUUUAUCAAAAUUUCAUGUGAUUUGGAUAUUUCUACACCGUUAAACUUGCAAACGGCUCACCACGGCUAUUAAAAUUAUUGAUUUUGAGCCCCUUCGAUAANNNNNNNNNNNNNNNNGGUUCAAAAUCAACGGCUGAAAAUAAAAAUCUCACAAAAAGUGGUGAUAUAGCAUUAAAAUUUUCGAUCAAAUAUAUUGAUCUUGCUGUAAAUAGUAUAAAUAAUUUUCUAUCAAAAUUUCAUCUGAUUUGAAUACUUCUAUAUUGUUAAACUUGCAAACGGUAUACAUCAACCAUUAAAAAUUGUUGAUUUUGAACCUUUUCGAUCGCUAGAAAAAUGAUACCAAAAAAUCACAAAAAUUAUUUUCUAGAUAGCUCAAAUAUGUUAGAUUAAGUCUAAGAAGCCGAUCGUCGAUUCUGAAGCUCUAUUAUCGAAAAUGGCUUAAGAGCACGGAGGGCUCCAUGAUCCUAAUAGCACACAAGACCUACUAUAUAUAUAUAUAGGCUACUAUACUAUCGGUAGUACGGAGGUCUUCGUGAUAGCAAGUUGUUUUCAAUGGUGCGGUUUUCAUAUCCACAAUCGGAUCUAUUAAACUUGAUAUGCACUAUUGAAAGUAUUUGAAAACUCAAUUUUAUAAUUUUUCGAUAUUAUUUGGCUAGUGAUCAAAAGGUCUCAAAAUUAAUAAUUUUAAUGAUCGACGGUAUAAAACAAUCCAAAUCUGAUGAAAUUUUUAUAAAAUUUUGUUUCACUAUUUAGAGUAAGAUCAAAACCUCUUAUCUUAAAUUCAAGUCUUUUAUCAUUUUUUAAUGAGAUUUUUAUUUUUAACCGUUUAUUUUUAGGCUAUUCGUUUGAUAUGUAAAUAAUGUCAAAAAUUAUAAAACUUAAUUUUCAAAUACUUUAAAUAGUAUAAAUCAAGUCUAAUAGAGCCUAUCGUCGAUUUGGAAGCUGCAUCAUUGAAAACAACUUAGUAGUAUGGAGACCUCCAUGCUACCGAUAGUAUAACAGCUGGACUCUAUGUAUGUACAUAUAGAGAGAGAGAGAGAGAGAGAGAGUAGGACUAUUGUACUAUUAGGAGCACGGAAACCUGUAUAUUCCUAAGUUCGUAAUCAUUUAUUAAUUUUGAUGGGUGGUUAGCGUGAGAAAGAGAAAAAAAAUGGAAAAAAAUUAGGUGUCUCAAUCUCUCUUUUCUUUGAAUUUUUUUUUUUUUUUCUCUCUCUCACCCUAACCACCCAUCAAAAUUGAUGAAUGGUUAGUAACUCAGGAGCACACAGGCUGCUGUGCUCCUAAUAGUACAGUAGCCGUACUUUAUAUAUUAUAUAUCAGAACAAAAUAUAAAUGAUUAAAAAAAAUCAUCGGACUCUAUCGUGGAAGUGCGCUGUAUUCAAAUGCUUUGUUUUGAUACAAACAAAAAAACAAAAUAACAAAAUAAAAAUAAAUAAAAAAGAAACAAGGAGAGAAAAAAUGUCACAAAAAUAGAUAUAAAUGUGGGUCAUUAGGAAUCGGACCUAUCGCCUACCUAUAAUGAUCCAAUUUUCUUUUCUCUUCUAAAAUUGAGAGAAAAAGCGAAAGUCAUCCUACUGGUUUCUUUUCCUUCGUCCAAAGAGUAUAAAAAUAAAUUACGUUUUCUCUUAUCAUUAUCUUUUUGGGAAAACUUCAAAUACCUCCCAUAUGGUUUCACUUUUUCUCACUUUACUACCCUGUGAUUUAAAGUGUACUCAACUUGAUACACUUUAAACCACAUGAUACUAAAAUAAAAAAGUACGUAACUACGGGGGGUUUUUGAAGUUUUCCCUUAUCUUUUUUAUAAAACAAAAGAUUUCUCACAUGUUCUCUUCAUCCAACUUAAACAUAAAUUAUUUUUAAAAGAGCAAUCCAAAGUUCACAACUCAAAAUAAGUGUAAACCUACAACACUCUCACCCAAAUAUAUAUAUAUAUAUAUAUAUAGUUUUUUACUACUCUUACCACUACUUUUCUUAACUAAAAUUUUAAAAAAAUUACCGACCGUCCCUAGAGCAAGUGGCAAAGGGUUUGAUAGUUUGUACUCGAGACCCAAGUUUGAAUUCUAAUUGAUUCACAUUUUCAGCUAAGUUUAUUUCUAAAUGAAAUAAAUGAAACGGUUAACGUGCUACUAUCUCUCAAAAAAAAAAAAAAUUAAAAAAGGUUCGAAAACUUAGAGGAAGGUUUGUUGAGAUUACAACUCCUGUAAAUUAAGAAUUUAUCUUUUUUUCUUUCAAAUUUGUCCAAAAUUUUAUAUUAAUGUUAAGCUACGUACUUUUUAUUUUCUACCACUUACGUCUACCACCAUUCGUCGCUGCUAGCGCUACUCUUACGCAUUAAUUACACCCGCCUUAAAUUCCCUCGGUGCUUUUGUUACCUCCCACCCACCCCACUCCCUCCCCUUCACUCCACCGCUUUCUCCUCGACACUUUCCUUCUCUCUCCCUCUCUGGUGCAAUGUCGUCGUCGGAUUCGUCGUGGGCGGCGUCGACGCUCCCAGACUCCCCGGCGCCUGCGGCAGCGGCGGCGGCGGCGGCGGCGGCGGCGGGCGUUGGGCUCGGCUACGGCAUCGCCAUCGCCGUCGGCAUCCUCGUCCUCGUCUCCACCAUCAUGCUCGCCUCCUACCUCUGCGUCCGCGCCAAGGGCACCUCAUCAUCCUCCCCCUCCCCGCCCCUCCCCACUCACCACCACCGCCACCACCACCACCACCCCCGUUCACCCACCACAUCCGAAAUGGCGGUGGCGGUGGGGCUCGACGACGCCGCCAUCGACGCCUUCUACCCGAAAUUCGCAUGCGGCGCGGGGAAGGAAGAGCCGGCGGCGGUGGUGGGGACGUGCGCGAUAUGUCUGGGGGAGUGCGAGGCCGGGGAGGCGGUGCGGCGGGGGACGGAGUGCGGGCACGGCUUCCACGCGGGAUGCGCCGAGCGGUGGCUGCGGGUGAGCGCCGCCUGCCCGCUCUGCCGCAGCUCCUCGCCCUCCCCGGCCGCCACCAGCCCGCAGCCACCCCGCUCUCCGAGCUCAUCCCCUCGCCCUCCACGCCAAUGAAAUUGGAUCUCGCGCCGCUACCUGUCGGUGCGGGUUCUAAAAAAAGUUUUUUUUUUUUUUUUUUUUUGCUUCCCUUCAUUUCGAUGUACUAUUAUUAUUUAAUUUAUUAUUGAUUUUGAUUUAAUAUACUUGGUUUUGCUUACUUGCUUACUUGAUUAAUUAAUUAGUGUUUUGUGGGUCAAAGGGCCUAAGUUGAAAUCGUGGUGUCUAAGAUCACUCACUUCCAUGCAAAAUUCAGAAAUGGUGAAGACUGUAGAGUAUAGAAGCGAAUGUUUUAGUAUCAAGAUCCCAAAUCACGUCUUACAAAAAGUAUUGACAGUCCAGAAAUUGAGCUAGAAUACUUUUAGAAGUACCAAUCCCUUACUGCUUCUAAGUUUUUAGGCUUCUAGCCCUUGGAUCUAUUUCUUGAUUACUAAUAGUCUUUGGAUCAAACACUAUUCCACCUAUUAUCACCUACUACCAUCAUCUCAACCUCAUAUCUAUCCAUCCAAUGGCUUAAAACUCGAAAACACCACAUUCUUGGUACUUUUGAAAGUAUUCGAGUCCAACUCGACAGUCCAGUCCCUAUAUGGGUCUAAAAAAUUUCAUUUUGUCGGAGAGGUUUUUGUUUGAGAAUGUGACCUACCCAGUUAAACUCAUUCAAAAUUAGACCCACCAUGCAGUUUGGGUCUAUUCGAUCGCCUACAGCAACCUUAAUUAUAAUCUAGUGAUUUCUAUUUCACAUCUCGUAAUUUCUAUUUUAUGUAAACUAUUCUAGUAAGUAAAUUCUAUCUUUUACAUAUGAAUCGGCCACCUCUUCUUAACUCCAAUCCUUCCACUCUUCAAGCAUUUUCGGCCACUCUUAUCUGAGUCUUGCCUUUUAGAGUGCGUCAAGCUAUCAGCAUAUAUAUAUAUAUAUAUAAUAUUUAUAACAAUAGCCAAAUAAAUUAACGCAUCAAAUCGGUUGGAUCAGUAGCUUAAGAUUAUCGAAUUGUUGAAUCUAAUGUUAACUAUUAGAAAGAUCUAAUCCAGUUUAAGCCCACAUAAUAUCAAAAUAUGGCAUAGUCUAAUUUGGUGUUCGCCGGCGCUCUACGUUUCCAAAUUUUAGCAUACACAUUGUUUUCACGUAUAAAGUCGUAACACAUUUUAUCCCUUGUAAAAUGAGUCAUCUAUUUUAGUUCAAUCCAAAUUAGAUUUUAAAAAAAUAUUUUUUAUAAACAUGUUGUUUAUUGACAAAUUUUGACUCAAAAACUUGAGUAUAUUAGGCUUGAAUUCAUUAGUAUAUAUCGAUCAUUUAUUCUUUACUUAUAAAUGAAAUGAUCAUUAUAUUUUUAAUUAUUGAGAAUUAAUACAAUGUAUAUAAAAGUUCAGAAACUAAAUUCAUGUUUCGUUCGCCGAAAGUGUAACAUCGAAAGUGGUACUUUUAGAAAGUGAUGUAUUAUCGGUUAUUUAUUUUACGAAAGUGAAUACGAAAGUCAUUUUACAAAAAUAGACUAAUAAAGUGAGUUAUAAUUAAAUCCCACUUUCUUAACCUUGGCUCAAAAAAUUCAGAAGUCACCGAAAGUAGAGAUCGAGCUAAGCUAAGAGGUUAUAUUUGGUCUUAACUUUAAUAUUUAAAUUUAUUUUUAAAGUUCAAUUUCACUUUAAAUUUGAAUUAAAAUUAUGAUCACAUUUUGAAUUUUAUUUGUAAAUUAAAAUUCAACAUAAAAUUUUAAAUUCAAAUUUAUGACUUUAUAUUUAAAUUUAAAAUUUAAAAUUUAUUUUUAUUUAAAUUUGAAUUCUAGAAUUUAAAUUUAAAUUUUAAAUUUUAAAUUUUAAUCAAAUUAUUUUUAGUUAAGAUCUUCGAUUUGAAAUUUGAAUUCAAAUUGUUCAAACUAUAAAUUCAAAUUAUUGACUGAAAUUUGAAUUUAAAAUUUAAAUUUUUAAGUUCAAAUUCAAAUUCAAAUUUAAAUUUGCUAUUUACAUUUAAUUUCAAUAAUGAAUUCCAGUCUGAAUUUGAAUUCGACUUAUGAAUUCAAAUGUUCGAUUCGAAUUGUGAUUUAAACUCAUAUUUUAAUUUUAAUUUAAAUAUUAAUUUAAAUUGUGAAUUCAUAUUUGAAUUCAGAAUUUAAGAUCAAACAGUAAAUUAAUAUAUAAUUCAAAUUAUAAAUUCAAAUUUGAUUAAAUGUUCUAAUUUUUGUGUUGAACUUUUAUUUUAAAAUUUAAUUUCAGUUAUAACUUAUAACUUAAAUUUUAAAUUCAAAUUGUAAAUUAAAUUUAUGUCUUAAAUUUUAAUUAUAAAUUCAACUCAGAUUUAAAUUUAAAUUUAAAUUUAAAUUUUUAAUUUAAAUUGCAAGUAUAAGUCGUUUGUUUAUAUUUUCACCUUUUUAUAUAUAAUUUAAAGAUAAAUUGUAUUGUUACCCCUUGAACUUUUGGCAAAGUUUCAUUUUAGCCAUCGAACUCCUAAAAUGGACAUCUAACACUCUAAACUCUAAUAUUUCAUUCAUGUUACCUAUUCCGUCAGUUUUCCGUCAAGCUUAGUUAACCGGAAACUGAUGGAAGGCGUAAAAUGAAUGAAAUAUUAGAGUUUAGGGUGUAAGAUAUCUAUUUUAGGAAUUUGGGGGGUUAAGUGAAACUCGCUAAAAGUUCAGGAGGUAGCAGUGCAAUUUACCCUAAUUUGUUACUUAUGGAUUGACUACUAACCCUCAAGUUAGUGACCAUACUUGAUUUUGAAUUUAUAUAUAUUUUUUAUCCUAAAAUAAAUCAUACCAUAAUUUAUCCUACAUUUUAUUGUAAUAAAAUAAAAGCGAAAGAAAUGAAUUAGAGUGACUUAAAGAUAAGAAAAGAGCGAUACUAACUACCUACGAUGCUCGAGCACUCUAUUGUCCUACUGUACUCGCUAAUAUGGUUGAUUUACAAUAGAUGCUCUCGCUCGGAUGUAGAGAUUUUAAUUCUCGGUUAAUUUUCUGUAGCACUCGUUUGUCCCUUUUAUCUUUAGAAGUAUUGUUCUAGAAAAUGCACUUAUUUUCUAUGAAACUAUGCAAUGUAAUUUUAUUGUAGCCUAAAAUAAAAUUUUUGUACUUCAUUUCAGCCAAUUAAAAAUUUUUAAUAUAAAAAUAUAAAAUAAUAUUUUAUAAUACUUUAGAACAAAACUUCUAAAGAUAAAAGAGACAAAUGAGUACUACAAAAAAUUAACUGAGAAUUAAAAUCUCUAUAUCCCAGUGAGAACACCUAUUAUAAAUCAACCAUAUUAACGAGUGCAUCAGGACAAUAUAGUGUUCGAGUAUCGUAGCUGGUUAGUAUCGCUUUUUUCUUAUCUUUAAGCCACUCUAAUUCACUUCUUUCGCUUUUAUUUUAUUACAAUAAAAUAUAGAAUAAAUUAUGGUAUAAUUUAUUUUAGGAUGAUAAAUUCAAAAUCAAGUAUGAUCACUAACUUGAGAGUUAGUAGUCAAUCCAUAAAUAAUAUAUUAUAAUAAAAUAAUUUAUAGUCAAUAGUCCUACAGGGUAAAUUGCACUACUACUUUCUGAACUUUUGGUGAGUUUUACUUAACCCCCAAAACUCUUAAAAUAGAUAUUUAAGACUCUAAACUCUAAUAUUUCAUUCGUUUCAUCCCUUCCGUUAGUUUUCAGUUAACGGAGCUUGACGGAAAACUGACAGAAAGGGUAACAUAAAUGAAAUAUUAGAGUUUAGGAUGUUAGAUAUCCAUUUUAGGAGUUCGAGUGAUAAAGUAAAAUUUCGCCAAAUGUUCAGGAGAUAAUAAUGCAAUUUAUCCUAUAAUUUAAUCAUAAAAAAUUAUAAAAUUAUAGUUUUAAUUUUUACUUUAUAGCAACCAAACAAUUGAACUGAAAAAUCACUUUAGUAGAAAUUACUUUUAUAAAAGUGACUUUUUCCACUUCACCGACUUUCGAGCAAUCAAACAUGCCCCAAGUGAAAACUGCAUAAUCAAGCCACAACAGUGUAUAUUGGUUGGUAUCCCUACAUAUUAUUCUUUAUUUUAACUGAUCUGAAUGGAAAUGCUAGCUAGGAUUGGAUGAGUUCACUUCCUUUUUUGACUUCAUGAAGUACCAUACCUAUACAAAAUUGAUGAAUAAUUAGAAAAUAGGAGAAAGGACCAACUUUACUUUACCAUAUUAGUUUACUUUGUUAAAUUACUUUAUUUAGGGCGGUGUGACAUAUUAAACAGUCAAUGUUAGAAAAACGAACAUAAUGGAUCCUCGGGUGGGAGUGACUCCCCACCUUCCACCCGUUUUUUUUUUCGCGAGCUGGGAUAGAUUCGUAACAUAAUUAGUAUUAAAAAAAAAAAUUAAAGAAAUUUGACAACGAUACCAAACAGACCUAAACAUAAACUUAAAGAGCUCUAGGCAAAUAUUAUAUUUGUAGAAGGUUUUAUUUAUUUAUUUAUUUAUUUACAAAAAGAUAGCUUGCUACCCGCUUCAUUCAUUAAAAAUAUGAACUAAGCUACUAUUUGUUUUUUCUUUUUUGAGAGAGAUAGGUAGCACGCUACCCACUUCAUUUAUUUCUAUUAUAUUUGGUUUAGAUUUGUAGUUAUCUAAACUGGAGUUAAAUCCUAAUUUAAUUGGGAUUGGAUUUAAUUUGGCAUAUACGAAUUAUAAUUAGGAGUGUAAUUCUUAUUGAAUUAGAAUUAAACUCUAGUUAGGAGACAUGUAUUAUAUAUACAUGCUACGAUCAAAUUAAUGAUGCCGCGACUCAAAUUAAGGCCAUGCAAAUUAAUUAAAUUGUUAGUGCCCCAUCAGUAUGGUGGGAGCAAUUCUAGCCCGUAUUGCUCUAAUUAGAGGCAAGCUCUAAUGACGCCGCAUCUCUAAUUAGACCUAUGCUAAUUCCGUACGGCGUUGGAUCUUGGGAGGAGCCGUAUGCACUAAUUAGUGCUAAUUUGUGGUCCGUACGGAUUGAGAGAGAAGCCACUUUGGAGUUGCUUGUUGCGGCGUUUUAGAUCUAAUUAAGUUUUGGUUCUUUUGAGAGAUUUUCUUUGUACUCCGCCUUUUCGACAUUAAUAAAAUAUUUGCUCCGUCUUCAUCCGUGGACGUAGGCCGUUGGCCGAACCACGUAAAUAUCGAUGUGCUCUUUCCUUAUCUUUUAUUUUUCUACAUUAAGUUAUUUUCUGGUUCUAUUUUUCGCUAUUCCGAUUUUAACAAACUGGUAUCAGAGCCUUUCUAUUUCCUUUGAGGAUUAAGAUGACGACGAAGUUCGAGAUUCAAAAAUUUGACAGUACCAACAGUUUCGUAUUAUGGCAAGUCAAUAUGCGUGCUGUAUUAACGCAACAAGGAUUGCAGAAGGCACUGUUGGGAAAAAAAAAGAUGUCCAAUUCUUUAACGGCGGAGCAGAAGGAGGAGAUUGAUGACAAAGCUCUGACGGCAAUACAAUUAUAUUUAUCUGAUGAGGUAUAGUGCGAGGUCUUGGAUGAAAAUACCGCUGCAGGGCUUUGGCUUAAAUUGGAGUCUCUCUAUAUGACGAAGUCUCUCACCAACAAGUUAUAUUUGAAGCAACGUCUCUUUAUGUUACACAUGGCAGAAGGUACCUCUAUUAAGUCGCAUUUAGAUGAAUUUAAUUCUAUUAUUAUGGAUCUCCGCUCGAUAGAUGUCAAAAUCGAGGAGGAAGAUGAAGCCCUUUUAUUAUUAUGUUCUCUACCGCCCUCUUGUAAGAAUUUUCGUGAGACCUUGUUUGGACGAGAUACUCUAUGUCUCGAUGAUGUUAAAUCCUCUUUACUUUCAAAAGAGAGAAUUGACAUGCAGAUAAGCAACGAGAUAGGUGGAGCUUCAGGACAAGGUUUGUCGCUAGAGGGAGGUCUCAGGAGAAGGGUUCUGGUAAUAUAGGUACAUCUAGAUCAAAGUCAAAGUACAGGAAUCUGAUUUGUGGUUAUUGUAAGAAGAAGGGUUACAUAAAAGCUGAUUGUUUCAAGUUGAAAAAUAAAGAGCAGCGAAAAAAUAACGAUGAUAAGAAUUAAGGUAAAAAAAAUACCAAUACUGAAGCAGAAGCAAAUAUUGCAGCAGAAGAAUCAGAUAAAAAUGAUAUCGUCUUCACAGUUACAGAUAAGACACGCAGACAGGAUGAGUGGCUUAUGGACUCCGCAUGUUCCUUCCAUAUCUACACGCAUAAAAAAUGGUUCUCGACGUACAAGCCUAUUGAAGGUGGAGAUGUAUUGAUGGGAAAUCACUCUAAGUGCACAGUUAUUGGAAUUGGCACUAUUCGGGUACGGAUGUUCGAUUGAGUAGUGAGAACUAUAUCUGAGGUUCGGGAUGUUCCGGAUAUGAGAAAAAAAUCUGAUCUCAUUGGGUACCCUUAAUACUAAAGGCUUUAAGUAUUCUUCAGCUGACGGAUUAAUGAAGGUCGCUAAAGGAAAUCUUGUAGUGAUGAAGGCCAAGUUGUCCGACAAGUUAUAUAUUCUACAGGGUUCCAUUGUGACAGGUUCAGCAGCGGUGAUUUCUUCUUCUAUGUCAGAUUCGGAUAGCACCAGAUUAUGGCAUAUGCGACUAGGCCAUAUGAGCGAAUAUGGUAUGAUGAAGUUGGGCGAGAAAUGUCUAUUUGGUAGUCAAAGUUUAGAAAAGUUGGACUUCUACGAGCAUUGUGUUGUUGGUAAACAAAAUAGAGUCAACUUUAAGGCUGCAGUUCAUCGAACAAAAGGUACUCUGGACUACAUCCAUUCUGAUCUUUGGGGACCUUCUCGUACUCCUACUCAUGGUGGUGCUAGAUAUAUGUUGACUUUUAUUGACGACUAUUCUCGUAAAGUGUGGGCGUUCUUUCUGAAAAGUAAGGAUGAGGUGUUCAAUUAUUUCAAGCAGUGGAAGGUCAUGAUUGAGAAGCAAACUGAAAAGAAGAUCAAGAGAUUAAGGACCGACAACGGUUUGGAAUUCUGUUCGUCAGAGUUUGAAGAAUUCUGCAAGAAGGAAGGGAUCGUUCGACAUAAGACCGUUAGGCAUACUCCACAGCAGAACGGGGUGGCCGAACGGAUGAAUAGAACUCUUUUGGAGAGGGCCCGUUAUAUGCUCUCUAAUGCUGGCUUAGCGAAGAGUUUCUGGGCAGAGGCAAUCUCUACGGCAUGCUAUUUAGUGAAUCGAUCUCCACAUCCAGCACUUAACUGCAAAACUCUGAAGGAGGUAUGGUCUGGCAGCUCUUCUGAUUAUUCUAAUUUGCGAAUAUUUGGUUGUCCUGCUUAUGUUCAUGUUAAUGAAGGCAAGUUGGAACCUAGGGCUAAAAAGUGCAUUUUUAUUGGUUAUGCAUCGAGGGUUAAGGGAUAUAGAUUGUGGUAUCCUAAAUCGUAUAAAUUAAUUAUUAGUAGGAAUGUCACAUUUGAUGAAUCUGCUAUGUUAUAUCCUAACCGUAAUUCUUCUGAUGAGACCCCGAGUGCUAGCAAGCAGGUGGAGGUAGAGACCAAUGGUAUAGUUCAGUCGCAGGAUUCUUCUCAGUCAGAACAAGUUCAGUCGGCAGACACCUCAGUAACUGAAACCCCACAAGUUGAGAAGCAGAGCAUUACUACAGGCAGAGCGAGGAGACAGAUCAAACCACCGCAGAGAUAUGGUUAUGAAGAUAUGGUUGCGUACGCUCUUUCAGUAGCACAAGACACAGAAGAAGGUGAGCCUUCCACAUAUAAUCAAGCUAUUUCUGGUACCAGUUCUGCAGAGUGGUUGAUGGCGAUGAAUGAGGAGAUGGAGUCUCUCCAUAAGAAUCACACAUGGGAGUUGGUAAAAUUGCUUACAGGCAAGAAAAUUGUCGGCUGUAAAUGGGUCUUCAAGAAAAAGGACGAAAUCCCCGGCAUAGAAGAUACAAGGUAUAAAGCUCGUUUAGUUGCUAAGGGCUACAGUCGGGUAGAAGGUGUUGACUUUAAUGAUAUUUUCUUACCCGUCGUAAAGCAUACUUCUAUUCAUAUUCUUUUAUCGUUAGUAGCCAUGAAUGACUUGUAUCUUGAGCAGCUUGAUGUUAAGACAGCUUUUUUGCAUGGAGAACUUGAGGAGCAAAUUUAUAUGAAACAGCUGGAAGGAUUCAUUGUUGAAGGGAAGGAAGACCAUGUUUGCCUGUUAAAGAAAUCGCUUUAUGGCUUAAAGCAGUCUCAUCGACAAUAGUAUAAACGGGUCGACUCUUUCAUGACAGGUCACGGAUAUUCCAGAAGCAAGCGUGACAGUUGCGUGUAUUUCAGAAAGCUUGAUAAGGGAUCUUUCAUAUAUUUAUUACUCUAUAUCGAUGAUAUGUUAAUUACUUCUAGCGACAUAGUUGAGAUAAAUAAAUUGAAGGCUUUACUUAAGGGUGAGUUUGAGAUGAAAGAUCUAGAUGCUGCUAAGAAAAUCCUUAGUAUGAAAAUUAGGAGGGACAACAAGUCAGGACUACUGCAUUUGACACAAGAGAAAUAUAUAGAGAAGAUUUUAAAGUGUUUCGGGAUGACAGUUGCAAAACCGGUGAGCACUCCUUUUGCGGCGCAUUUCAGACUUUCUGUCGAGGCAUCACAGCAGUCCGAUGAUGAGCGGGAGUACAUGUCACAUGUUCCCUAUUCUAGUGCUGUCGGGAGCAUCAUGUACGCCAUGGUUUGCACGCGACCGGACAUCUCCUACGCAGUAAGCAUGGUUAGCAGAUAUAUGACCAAUCCUGGUAAGGCUCAUUGGCAAGCUGUUUUGUUGAUUUUGAGAUACUUACGACGUACCACUAACACUUAUUUGGAGUUUGGGAGAUGUAAGGAUAGUGUGGUUGAAUAUGUUGAUUCGAAUUUUGCAGGUGGUUUGGACAGGAGGAGAUCACUUUCAGGUUAUGUAUUUUCUAUUGGCGGAUGUGCAGUUAGUUGGAAAGCUUCACUACAACCUAUUAUCGCCUUGUCUACGACGGAGGCAGAAUAUAUUACUAUGACAGAGGGUGUGAAGGAAGCUAUGUGGCUAAGAGGCUUAUUUGGAGAGCUUACUUCUUGUUGGAAUCCGACGAUUGUUUAUUCAGACAGUCAAAGUGUUAUUCAUUUGUCGAAAGACCAGAUGUUUCAUGAGAGGACAAAACACAUCGAUGUAAAGUUUCACUUUGUUCGGGAUGUGAUUGGGAAAUGCACGGUGACUAUUAAGAAAAUUGGUAUUGAGGACAAUCCGGCGGAUAUGCUUACUAAGUUCCUUACUAUUGCCAAGUUCAAGUAUUGUUUAGACUUGGUGUCAGUUGGCAGUAUUUGAGGCCCUAUGGAACGUUUGGGGAAGACGGAGCACGGAGCGUUAAGGAGCAUUGAGACGAAUUAAAUUCAAGGUGGAGUUUUGUGGCGAUCUCGACAUAGCGGCUAAACUAUAAAUUAAACCAAAGUGGAGAUUGUUAUAUUUAGUUUAAAUUUGUAGUUAUCUAAAUUAGAGUUAAAUUCUAAUUUAAUUGGGAUUGGAUUUAAUUUGGCAUAUACGGAUUAUAAUUAGGAGUGUAAUUCUAAUUGAAUUAGAAUUAAACUCUAGCUAGGAGACAUGUAUUAUAUAUACAUACUACGGUCAAGUUAAUGAUGCAGCGACUCAAAUUAAGGCCAUGCAAAUUAAUUAAAUCACUGGUGGUCCGUCGGUACGGUGGGAGCAAUUCAAGCCGAUGCGCAUUGCUCUAAUUAGAGGCAAGCUCUAAUGACGCCGCGCCGCAUCUCUAAUUAGACCUAUACUAAUUCCGUACGGCUUUGGAUCUCGGGAGGAGAGCCGUAUGCACUAAUUAGUGCUAAUUUGUGGUCCGUACGGACUGAGAGAGAAGCCACUUUGGAGUUGCUUGUUUGCGGCGUUUCGGAUCUAAUUAAGCUUUGGUUCUUUUGAGAUAUUUCUUUGUAAUCCGUCUUUUCGAUAUUAAUAAAGUAUUUGCUCCGUCUUCGCCCGUGGACGUAGGCCGUUGGCCGAACCACGUAAAUAUCGGUGUGCUCUUUUCUUAUCUUUUUUUUUCCUGCAUUAAGUUAUUUUCUGGAUCUAUUUUUCGCCGUUCCGAUUUUAACAAUUUCAUUUAGAAAUAAACUUAACUAGAAAUAUGAAUCAACUAGGAUUCGAAUUUGAGAUCUCGGGUAUCAACAACCAAACCAUUUGCCACUUGUUUUAGGGACGGUCGGUCUAAGUUACAAUUUGCAGAAGGUAUUGUUAGGCCAAAGCAAGUCUCAAGUGCAUUAUUGUGUGCAAAAGUCAGUGUGUGAUUUCAGUAGUAGGUUGUACACAGUGACCAUCUUCACUAUUUCUCUACCUGCUGGUAGCAACGGCCAACUACCCUAGAUGACCUGACCAUUUUUUGUCUAUUAAAGAGCUAAUUAAAUAUGUUUAAACUAACUUUGGAAAAGUACACAUUGAGAAAUACUGGGAUCUCUAUAAUGUUGGUUUUUCACAUUGUUGAUGCCUUGGUACCUUUCACAUCAGUCUUUUUUUUUUUUUUUUUUUUUUUUUUUUNAAGGAUACUAAAGUGAAAAAGCGCUAAACCACAGGGAGGAUAUUUGAAGUUUUUUUUUUUUUUUUUUUUGCGUUAUCCUCUCUGUUAACUCUCCAUUAUCGAUAACAACAAAAAGUUAUUUUUUAAAAUUUAGUUCUCGAACAAAACGCAGGAUUUAGGUUUUUUUUUUUUUUUUUUUUUUUUGUAUUGCUUUGGUGAUCUGAGUUUACCAUUCUGGCUCUAUUAUCAUCUUUUCGAUUUUUUAUCAAAACUAUUAAGAAUUUGCAUUUUGGGUUUUGAGUUUUAUUUUAGCGUUGAUUUUGAUUAAAAAAAAUUACAUGAAAUCAAUUAAAUGAGAAUGUUUUUUUUCAUGUUAGGUAGCAUGGUGAGUGACACAUUUUAGAAUUGAUGAUAAGCGACACCGAUAGAGGAAAGAAGAAUGAUUGAUUGAUUGCCUAAUAUCAAAAAUGAAAGCCUUCGUAUCAAGAAAAAUGAUUGAUUGCCUAAUAUUAAAAGUAAAAGAAUAUUUGAAGAGUCUUCGCUGCUAGUAGCAUGCACGAAAACCUUCAUACUAUCAAGUUAUUUUUAAUAAUGUUGCUUUCAAAUAAACAAUCAGCUCCGUUGGACUUGAUAUACACUAUUGAAAGUAUUCGAAAACUAAGUUUCAUAAUUUUUCGACAUCAUUUAGCUGUCUAACGAAUAGUCCAAAAAUGAACGACUGAAAAUAAAAAUUUCAUGAAAAAUAAUGAUAAAAAACUUAAAUUUAAGAUCAGAGAUAUUGAUGUUAUUCUAAAUAGUGAAAAAAAAAAAAAUCUAUACAAAUUUCAUCAAAUUUUAAUUGUUUUACACCGUUAGAUUUCCAAACGCAUCACAUUAACUAUUAAAAUUGUCAAUUUGAGACCUUUUAAUUACGAGCCAAAUAAUGUCGAAAAAUUAUGAUAUUUAGUUUCUAAAUACUUUCAAUAAUGUAGAUCAAGUUUAAUGGAACCGAUCGUCAAUUUAAAAACUGCAUCAUUGAAAACAAUUUAGUAACACGGAAACCUCCGUGUUGUCGAUAGCAUAGCAGUCUAGCUCAUAUUUGAACCAAAAUAGUGCAGCAUAAACAUUUCUUCAACUGAUGUGCCAACUAGAAACCACACUAGUAUUUUAGGCGGGAUCUGCAUGUUUUCACAGGUUAAAAACUCAACUGAUCAGUAAUUGCUGAAUCAAAUCUUCAAAGCUGACAGCGCUCGUCUUACUUUCUAGUUUGAGCUUUUCUUAGUACCAUAAAAUGGAAUUCAAAAGGAGAUUCCUAACAGGAAUCUAGUUUUGACUGAUAAGAUCAAGGAUCCCCUCUCCACCCCCAGACACAAAACUCUUAACCAAAAUUGCAAUGCGCAGAAUUCUCAACAUAAUUGCUAUGUCAUUUUGUUUUUCCUUCAAUAGUGCUCGGAAUGUUGCUUAGCAGUUGUUGACUAUGUUAACAAGCUUCAGGUACUCAAAUAGUUCUAAGAACAAACGUUCCAUAAUUUAACACAUUUUCGCUUUUCCACUAGCUUGGAAAGUUCAGCUUUAACCUCCUCCUGAUUUUAUUUUUAUUUCACUAUUAAGUACCUGUCGUUAAAUACAUUUACAAACCAUGGGAUCAUUAAGUCUAAUUUACAGGUGGGACUUCAUAGAAAAGAAAAAUAAAUAAAAAAAAAAAAAGAGAUAGCAGAGUAAAACUUUUUAAAUAGCAAAGUGGCAAAGUAAAAAUACUCUAAAUCAUUGGGGGCCAAAUUAAAGUUUCCCACAGUUCUAAGCGUUAAACUGUAGCAUAAACCUGGUGUAAUGUGCUUUAUGGACCUCUAUCCGACAUGCGCAAGAUUUGUUUUACUUUUCAAAGUUCAUGCCGUUGCAAUUUUUAAUUUUUUUUUUAAAAAAAAAUUAAUCACUAACGGAUGCAUGCACUAUAAUAACGAAUGAAGAAUAUUCUAGGCCUCCAAGGAACAUGUAACAUUACCUUCGUCUAAUUUCAACCUACAGAAUGAGUUGUAAGCCUCUUCCCUCUCAAAACUUUUCAAAAGUCUUUUUUACAACUAACGCAUGCCUUUUUGCUGACCAGGAACUAAUCAUGUAAAACUAAACAUCUUUCAAAAGCUUCGAUUGCAUUAUUGCAUACCAAGUUCUCCUCCAAAGGCUUCUCCCUCUGACAUAACACCAGCACUAAAUGCUUCAUUCUUUGAUCCUUUGUGAGAUUGUUUUCCUCUUUUUGUUGAAAUAUUGCUGAUACAGCACCACUGACACUCCUAGCUCAAAAUCAAUCAAGCAACAUCUGUUGAAAUGGCCUCAACCCAUUAAUGGCUCCCUAGACAACAAGGUUGAAGAAUGAGCUUUCCCUCUUGGCUCUGCAAAUCCUUCUUAGAUGGAUUUAACACCAGAAAAUUGUUCUUAUGCAGGACUCAGACCACCAACCAAAUCUAUGGUGAUUAGACUGCACGAUAACAGCUUAGCGAUGCCACGGCAAAUGGCCCCUUCUAACAUAUUUCAGUGCCGUAAAUGAACAGCAAACCUAGUUAUCAUACUCAAUAAAACAACAACUUGAUGCACCACGAUGUCCAACACCCAGAGAGAGGUAGCAGACUCCAAUCCCUUAAGAACGUAGGUCUCAUCAUCCUCCGAGCAAAUGAAGUUGAUCAAGGCUAUUUGCUUUUCUUUAGCAUUCCCCUGAAGGGGCUUCUACAGGCAACAACUAAGCCGCAAGAACCAAAAUCUGAAUGUAAGCCAAUCCCAAAGGUGUAAGUUUCACCCAGCUAUCACAACAAAAUCUCUUUUCCAAUCCAAAACAGAACAAACAAGUGAAAAUUUUCAAGCUCAAAAUUCUAGUUAAAUUCAAGAAGCCAAAGUGCUUUGGGGAGCACAUCCUUACACCAUACUAAGCAGUUACAUGAUCCAUGUGAUAGUGUAUUUUUGUUGCAGAAUCUGUCACCAACAAAAGAGAGAAAAAUCGUAGUAAAUUCUCAAAUAGUAUCUCUAUGCCAAUGUGCCCCACCAAGUUCUCCAUCAGAUCAAAAUGUAUGCUCCUCUCCAUAUCCAAAAUUUUGUUCUCAAAUAAUUCUUUCUUACAGUAAACAACUGCCUCGUUGGCACUGCUUUUUUAUCUUUUUAUGCCAGACUCUUACCAUAACAAGGAUAGAGAAAUCCAUCGCCUCGCAUAUUAAAUUGCAUAUAAUUUGACUUGAAGAUACAGAAGCGGCAAAUGAGGGCUAAGCGUGUCCGUCUGACGAAGGCCAACGAUGAAUUCAUUGCAUGCCCUCUUCACCUUCAGUCAGUUUGGACUAGAAACAUGUAAUGGUCCAUAGGAUGCAAUCACUGAAGCCUCAUUAUCCGAAGUCCCCAUUAGAGAAUUGAAAGGACUGCUGAUUUUGAGACGAUAUUUCUUGUUAUCAGGUACAUGUUCUUAGGAUGCAAUUAUUCAAGUCUCGAUAUCCUAAGUCCCCAUUAGAGGAUUGAAAGGACUGCUGCUUUUGAGAUGGUAUCUAUUUUUAUCAGGCACCCCAACUUUUUUUUUGCUUUCUUCUGCCGCCUCUGAGCACAGAACUUUAUGGGAACUUUGGUUAAAUUCAACUGUUGCAUUAACCUGCACAAGAGAGAAAAAGAUUAUUUAGAAAAGGACUACUGGAAGCAACAAUUUUUCCCUCAGCAGAAAAAACAGGAAACAAGCAUUACUCACACUAACAACUGAUAGAAGUGCAAAAAACAAACAGAAUACAAGCACAGCAAAUGCAACAAUGCUAAUCAUGUGGAGUGAAAACAAGAAGAUGUUAAGAUAAAAGCGAAAGUCGUAUCAUGCAAGGUGUUUUAGAGCUUUUCUCCAAAUAAAGACAUCACCCACAGCUUACAGAAGUCAGUAAAUGAUGACACUUAAUUACACAGCUCUCAGCAAAAAAUCUUUAAAAAAAAAAAAUCUCAUUCACAAAAGUAAAUUUUCUUUUCAUUCCCUUUCAACAUUUUAUGGCUCAGCUAUUGAUAUUCCAUACAGACAUAAAAACAUUAAGCAGCAAUCUCAUCAACAAAUCUUUCUUUAAUCAAAUACUACAAGCUUACCUACCAACCAAAGCAAAUCAUUUACUAGAGGUAUCUCUCUCAGUAACAGAUUACAAGUAGCGACUGCUAAUAUCCUUAUAAAAGAACAAACAGAGCAGCAAAAUCAUGCGAAAAUCUAUAUUUCCCACUAUGCCAGAAGCAGAAGCAUUUAACAAAAGCUGGAUGAAAAUCAGUCAUUCUCUUACCCAGUAUUGACCCCCAUGACCAGCAAUAUAAUGAUAUACUUAUGACUAUCAAUUCAAUCAAAUAAAUCCUACCCGCAAAUUCGACAUUCACACUUUACAACAAUAACAUGUUUAUAGUGCAGGGACAAUAUUUGCCAUGUUUAGUAGACAUGUAAAUCAUCUUCAGCUUCUUAACGGGAUACUCUAGAACAAUACAGCUAUCCAUAUGCAAUGUAAAAGAUCAUUAAAAGUAAAUCUGUUGAGCCAAAUCCCAAGCACACGGAGUAGGCACGCUCACUUCUCCAACAUCCACACUAAACAAAGCAUGCAAAAUAAUGGAUGGUAAUCUACAAUAAAGAUAUUUGCCCUCCUAAUCUGACUAGAGCAGGAUUUUUUGGAACUGAUCAACUUCCAUGUAAUGCCAUCCUCGUGAUAUUUGACUGGACUUUCUGGUCUUGCAAGGGUAAACCACUUAAAAGGCUGAAUACAAAUUGAAUAAUUAAAAAGCAACAUAGUUCUCUUCAGUGCACACCUUAUGGAAUCACCUUAAAAAUACAUUCCUAUAGCCAGCCAGCAAAUUAACUUCCCAUCAUCAAAAUCAAUAAUAUGAAAACCCACAAGAAGUAAAAUAUCACGGCCGCCAUCAUAACUACUAGAAAGCGUUGUCCAUAUUUGUUAAUUCACUACACUGCCUAAAAAUUCAUCACCAAAAGCUCCACUAUCAGCAUAUAGGGAAAUAUCAAAUAGAUAAACUGAUUAUUCUUGCCCAACUAAAUCUAGAUAGAAGCUGCAUCUUAUUGAAAUAUGAUGCACCCAAAAUAAUUAGCACCAAAGAAGCUUCCACCUCUCCUUUUUCCCUUUUCUGUUCUUUCCUUUCUAAUAAAAGGGUUAUAGAAAAGCCCCAUUAGACACUAUCUUCAUCAAUCUUAUUGAAAUAUGUCGCUCUAAUUCAAUUCAUAUGACAGAGCAACAGUUGUGUAAUUUUCAGAUUGAUGAAACCAUGGUCAGAUCCCUGAUUCACUGAAGAUCAGUCUUUGUAUGUGGCCCAUAAAAAUGUCACAAAAUGCACUCAAACUGACAUAUCAUCUACCAAACUCCUUAGAGGAAGAUUUAAUUGUUACCACAGAUGCAUGAACAAGAAAGAAACAGGAUCAUGAUGACUAAAGCUAACGUGUCAAUAUCAGCCUAGAUCAAGUGACAGUAAGAAAAGAGGCCACGAAUUGAUGUUUUAUGGUUGAUUGAACUUGAAUUUAAGGCCAUUAAUACGUAAGAUCCUAUUGCUCCUAUAACAGGAAUAUCCUAUUCUUAUUUAUUAGGACAAGGAAUCUAUGUAUGGACUACUACUGGACCGCCAGCUUUCUUGUUAAAAGAUGUUUGUAGAUCCUAAUCCUAUAUCGAAAAGUAAUCCAUAAGCACACAUACAGAGCACUCAUAUGUAAACACAAAAGGGGACAACAUCUAAUAUGAUUAUCUUGAACAAUGGAAGGAAAAUACUUGCCUUUUGGUACAAGCCAUCUCCACAUGAUCCGCAUCACUUGAAUAUCCCUGGACGAACUCUAACAAUGGUUCAGCAGACUGUAUAUCAUAGGGCAGGGUACAACGCAGCAUGUAGCUAUCACAAAUUGGUGCAAUACAAGCCUAAGAUGCUAAGAAUAUUCUCUCCAAAGAGAAAUAAUAGUCAUCAGCACUUAACGGCGGUUCCAUCAUAUUAUGAAAUACUAAAUACCACAUGCUAUACGAGAAAUCCAAGAGCUGCAAUUUCUGGCAGCUGCUACCACUGCAUAAGAGUUCACCAAAUUCAACUCGUCCAACAGGUGGCAACAAAGUUCAUCCAGGUAUAACAAAAAGGGCAUAAACUUCACAAAACCUGCUUUUUCAUGUAUACUGAUGCCUACCGUAAAAUGUAUAACCACUUGAAAGUCAGAAGUCCCUUUUAGGGACAAAAUCACCAAAUAUAUCAACGUCCUCCAACUAAUACUAUCAUCUAUGCUAUACCUAGUGACACCAUCCCCGUCAAAUAAAUAAGCCAAUCUUGUAUGCGUCCAGCUGAAGGACAGUGAAGCAAUAAUAUUAGCUCAUAGCGAAAGCACAGCAUGAAGUCUGCAAUCUUAACAUCACGACAAAACAAGUCCUGACUUGUCAAUUCUAGUCGUGCACACUGCAACUAAGUAACAAACCCAUAAAACUAACCUAAGGUUUCUGAAUUGUCAAUGACACAAGCAUCAAAGCCAAUGUAGCUAAGCAAGUAAAAUACCUACUCUAUCACUUUAUCUACAGCCACCAAAAAAUAUUCAUCGCUAAAUAAUAGCAUCAAGCCCAAUAGAUGGAUAUCUACAAAUAAUGCCUCAAAUAUCAGAUAUGCUCAUAUCGGUCAGCACAAUAUCCCAAAUGAAAUUUUAUAGCCAAUGCCAUCUUGAGGAACAAUUUCAAGUGUGCAAACGUAACAUCUUAUACUUCAACAUGUCACUAUCUUCAUUAUUCCCUCGCGACAAGGAAUAUGCCCAGUAUCCUCAACACGUCCACUUAUCCACCAUCUUAUUCCACUUGAAGAUAUAAUAUACAUAAGUAUAUAUGCCAAGCACUAAGAGAUUCCUUCACCAUAUUUGGAGCAACUAGAGCUCUAAAAUAACACAGAAAUGGCAAGAGAUCUAUACAACUUAAAACCAACUUAAUGCAACUCUGAACUUUCCUCUAUUUUAAGUAGUUAAAACGACACCACCUUGCCAUCUGCUAUUAAGACAGAGAGCCAUGCAUUACAGUUGAAAGAGCUUAAAUUUGAUAUGCUGCAUUACCAGCCCAUCGCCUAAAUAGAUUGUGCAUCCCAGGACCCAAACUCAAAUAAAGCUAACAUAGACAGAUUACAAGAGGGAAACAAGAAAGAUACAGACAAACAGGAUAACCCACUAUUAGUUGAUGCAAAUUAUAAUAAUAUCUUGUCUAAUUACUCACCAAGGUUUAGAUACGGAUCAAACUACCAUAGAUAUCACUGUUAGAUGGUUGAGAAAGAUAGGAAAAGAACAAAGAACUUACUCCAAAAAGUUAGGCCUAUACAGAAUGUACCAAUUUAAAAGAAACCUACAAUAAUUUUUCAUCACCAUUUCUAUGACAUACUCUACCAAAGACUUGCUAGCUUCAUCAAAAUAGGAUAAAAGUACAUCAAGCAAGCAAACCAUAAACUUCUAAUGGGAAAUCUUCAUUCAAUCACGUCUCAGAAGCUAUCUUACAUCGUAGAAAGCAAAUUUUCAGACUAACUUGUAAGUGUCAAAGAUCAAGUACCUACUUUAAGCACCAAGCAAAGUAUAAGGUUUGCAAGAACAUUUCUGACAUCAUCAUAUGCUAUUAACUAAGAUGAUAAAGCUGAAAAGAAGCAAUAGUUAAUUACAGUAUUAGUCUGAUAAUAAGUUUGCAAAUGAUAUGCUGCUCUUCAUUCAUGAUGACUGAAAGCAUCCUACCAAGUCGAAUCUGAUAGGCCGUGCGCCAGUAAAGAAGCUAUAUAGUCUUAACCUUAUAGAAAGACAGUCAGUAACAUAAAAGCCAUCCAAUUGCAUCACGAUGGACAAAUGCAACUGAAACCUCAACGACGUGCGAGGUGAGACUUGUCAAAUGCUCCCCAUGGACCAGGACCCGGACCAUACAUAGGAGCUUUCUCAGCAACACCCUAAUUGUCAAAAACCGAACCAUAAGUAGAGCAUAAAACUAAAAAUGACUUCAAUUCAUGACCUACAAAAACUGCUUAGAAGGAUACAUACUUGGUGAAGACUGUAACUAGCCCCAUAUGAAGAAGGAAAGGCACCUUCAGGGCUACCAAAGUUCAUCCCAUAUGGUCCACCUUAAACAGAAAGCAACAAGAAUAAUAUUAAAGUACCAGUCUGUAUUAUCAUAUAGCCAAAUGCCAUUGUGAAUGAACAUAUUAUGCCAAUAAGUAUGGGAGGGAGAAAAAAAAACAGAAAAAGAAAAAGGAAAAGAAAAGGACGUGCAUUGUACCAUAUUUCAUUCAACUGGACAAAUUUACAUAAAUAUGCAAAUGUAUUAAGAAAGAAAAGUAGAAAAAGCCAAAUGCAAAACCACUACUUGUGGUUUCAGUAGAGCUUUGAAUACCAAAACUCCAUUAUAUUGUAGACAAUCAGAGCAAUUUUGUUUUACAAAUGCAAGAUAGAUGAAUAAGUCUCAGGUACUCAUUUGCCAAACACAUGUGACAUUGCUCAACAGCUUCUACUACCCAACCAUCACAGCAAAAACAAAUGAUAUAUCAUGGUGUAACAUCUGCACUGCCUUCUCCGACCACAACAAUAUUAAAAACAGCAAUAACAGAGAAAAAGGGAAACAACUUGGAAGACAGGCAUAAUUAAAAUGAAGUAAGACACAAGGCAAACUAGGGAGAAAGGACCCCGAAGCCUAGGUAGAAAUAAUAGCACGCACCGGACAAAAGGAAGCACACAUUUUACAUAAUUUCCAGAAAAACAAAAUAUUCAUUAAAGACCUAUAUUAUCACUAUAAAUAAAUUACAAAUUCUGAAAUAUAACCAAGCUUUAAAGUGAAUUAUCACAACAAACUGUAGUUUAAAACUGAAUUACCACAAAUUUUAAAAAAUCAAUCCAAUAACGAGAGUUGAUUAGUGAAAAAUGUUAAAACCAUAGAUGGCACAAUUCGGCAUCUUCGCUAUAUAUGUUUAAAUAUCAAAAGCCCACAUUAAGGAUUUCAAAACUUUUUACUAAAUAAUCUGAUGGUCCAAAUGGAAAGAAUUUGCAUAAGCUAAGGCAAAUAUUAGAUUCUAGAUUAAUAGCAAGGUUUAAAGUGCCCAAGAAGGUGGCAUGGUACGGGGGGGAUCUCGGACCCCCCUCUGUGCCGUGGCACCGACCUGCGUAUCGCGUGAGACAGAGCAAUACACAAGUCCGUGCCACAGCACUAGUCCGUGCCUCGGCACUGUAUUUGUUUUUUUGUUUUUUGCCUUUUUUUUCUUUUUGUUUUGUUAUUUGGGAUACCACGAAGCAUCCCACACCCUCCAAGGAUAUUGCAAAUCAAAAGAUAUACUCGUUAGGUAAGUUUAAAAAAUUAUAAUUUAACUUUUUUAUUUAUCAAUAUACGGGCAAAUUUUUAAUUUACAUAUCCAAUCCAUACCGCAACGGGCGAAGCCCCCCGCACCCCCAUUAUCGGUCUGAGCCCUCCGCUUCCACCACAGACAUCCAUUUUUUUUCAUAAAUUAUUUUAUCAAAAUUUGUCACACCACAAAACUUUUGACGAAUUAAGGAAACAAAAUCGAACUCAAUAAACAAAGCUUAAUUUUUUUGAUAGAUCUAAUAAUUUUUUGAAAAAAUUAAUUAAAAAAUAUUUUUUAAAAUACUUUUUAAAAUAAUUUUUUCAAAUAAUUUUUAAAAUUAUUUUAAAAAUUAUAUUUUUAUAUUUUGUAAAACAAAAAAUAUAAUAUGGUCAAAAAAAAGAAAGAAAGAUACCUUUGCAUUUUUAAAAUUCUAACCUGUAAAAAUUUUUAUUCUGUAUCAGAUAUAGUUGUACUUUACAUAUAAAAAAACUUACAAAUAUGUUAAUUAAUAAGUAUAGUAAAUUAUACAUAGCAAAUAUUUAUAAUUAUUUGAUUAAAUCUUUCAAAAUAACAUUAUAAGGGCUUAUUGGAAGUAAAAACUAAAAUAAGUUCGUACCAAAGCGUGCCAGUAGAAGGUCAUACGUAUCCAUCGGCACGUAAGCAUACCAUGUGUCGGCACGCAAGUGUGCCGGUGCCGUACCGUGCCAGGCAGACAGCGGCACAUCCCCAUGCCACGGCACUUUAAACCUUGAUUAAUAGUACAUAAAUUUAGACAAAUGGUCCAAAUGGAAGCGUUAGACAUAGCAAUUACCUGCAGCCCAUGGUCUCCCUUCAGAAUUUGCUAACUCAGCCCGCAGCUUUUCAAUUUCACGAGCCAUAGAAACCAAAUUUUUCUCCAUUGCUUGCCUUUGAUCCAUCAGCUCAAAGUUUCCUUUUUUCUCAUACUCAACAGCAGUUCUGCCAAGAAACAACUAUAGGAUUAAGAGUUUGUAUGCUUUUGCACCACUCUGCACAGGCAAGAGAGGUCUUUCAAACAAAAGAACUAGAAAGGAAGUAUUUGUUUGGCAUGUAAAAAUUUCAAUCUGAAUACAGGGUAGAGCGUAACCUAGCACGCAUAAGCUCUUCACGAAGCCCAUCAAUUUCACCCCUCAAAAUAGAUAUUUGCUGAUUAUCAGCUUGUGCCCUGGUCAAUUCUUGAGUGAGAGUCUGAAUCUUCACGUUAAGUUCUUGUUUCAUAGCAAUCUGCUUCUCAAUUUCUGCACGAAGAUGUACUACCUCAUUCCUUAAAGGUUCAGUUGCUCUAAGAUCAGCUUCAAGCUUCAAGCCUUUCUCGAUCAACUCUCGGAUAUGAGAUUCCUUCUCAGCACGAAAGUCUGCCAUAAUCAUGUUCAGGCGAUGAAUCUCCUCUUUGCCAGCUGCAAUCUCCCUUUGCAAAGCUAAACGAUCUUCAACUAGAGCAUGGUGGUCGGCCAUAAGUCUCCGGAUCUCAAUCUGCUGUAACUCAAACUCUUCCUCUAGAAGAGCAGGGUGAGGUCUGGGGGGAGGACCACGAAAGUAAGGACCUUCCUGAAAGUCAGGAUAAGGUCGCCGUCCAUCGGCAAUGUGACGAGGUACACGGCCUCUCCCUGACAUCUUUCUUUAUGCUGAAAAAAUUUGAUCAUUUUAAGCAUCGUUUGUAGAGUCAAGAUAGACUGAAAGAUUUACAUGUAAAUAUAACUUAACAGGUUGUAGAUGAAAGACUGCAUACGUUACCAUCUGCAAACUUCCGAAAACAAAAAUAAUAAACACUACGCAAGGUUGAUAGUUGCUGUGUUGCAAGAUGGAGUAAUGCAUUAGCUGAAAGAAGUAAGGAAAUACCAUUGAUAGAAGUAAUCAAUGGUAAAUCCUCUUUAACAAUAAUUAACUAUACCCUGUUAUAAGGAUAAUAUUACAGCUUUCUCUCUAAUGAUAAGACAACUUACUUCGAAGCAACAGUUUACAAACAUCAUAAGCUUAUUUAUUACAAUCUCCUGUUUAUCAUAAAUUAUAAAAUUGUAGGUGAUAUGGUAACUUAUUACUUUGACAUGAUUAACUCAACAGCUAUGUUCCAUUGCCGACCACAAGGUACAGCUACUCCUAUGUAUCCAACUCUUAUGUAUUAGGCUAUUAUCAGAAUUUGAGAGCCGAUGGCUAAAAUUAAAUAUUUAUGCAUCAUAACCCUGGAGAAAAUCAAAGAGAUGUCAUAGUGAUGUGAUACAACUAGCCAUUAAGAUAAUAGUGGGAAUGAAAAUAGUAAGAUGGGACAUUAAGACCAUAUGCAACAAGAUACAGGAAUUACAAUAUUUAACCUUUGUAUUCUGAAAAAGUGGCUAAUAUAAUUGUAUUAAAACACAUCAAGUUGUAAAACUUACAUUUUUCAGAGUAUACUUCGUGCAAUGCUAAACGUUGACUCUGAUUUGGAUUUAUAACUUCUUAGUGACAGUUAUGUUACCUGGAUUAUUGCAUCCCUAUUUCUUAUACUAUUUAUUAAAAAAAAAAAAACUAUUUAUUGAGUGGCGACUGUUUUAUUUCUACCUGAACUUUUAUACAUAUUUCUUUAAACUCAAAUUACUUGAACUAGAAUCUUGAAACUUGGUAUAUCUUGAAGAUCUUGGCACCGCCAAAUAUCAUUAAUUUGGAAGUUGAAAUUGUAAAUUUUCAUAAAAUAAAGAUAUAUGUUACCUGUGUAUAUUGUGUAUGGGAAGGGACCAGUUGCAAGUCACUUGCAUGAAGAGUUAAUUUAUGCUGCUGUUACUAGAAUUUUGCCCAUUACAGUUCUCUUUUCUGGUAGAAAAAGAGCAUGAAGUUUAUUUCAGUAAUAUUUAUCAUUCUACUGAAUACCAAGCAGGUUAUGGAUAAGUUUUCCCAAAUAAAAAUUUCAUUUCAUUUGAAAUAUGUGACAAUUACCCUUCUCUUCCUUCUCUUUCUCUAUCGUUUUCCAACUACAACCAUCAAUUUUCUUCUAAAAUGCGGAAGGCAAUCUUCACGGGGUAAACCCGCCAUAGCAAUUUGCAAAUGUGCAAAAUGCGAAUGCGCAUCUGUUUAACUAUCUGAAAACAUAUAUAAUUAUAAAAAAUAUAUAUAUAUAUUAAUAUGCAUGUUAAAAUGAAGUACAAAGAAACACAAUAACAAAUACCCAUCAAUAGAUUGUAAAACUGCAAUACAGAAAUUACAAUAACACUAUCAAUAAAUAACCAAAUCAACUCAUGCAAAGAGUCAAACAACUCAUUAACAGUCAACUACUAUAUAAAAAAAAAUACAUAUGGCUUUCCAUAAUUAACAGCCCAACUAUUGAAAUUUCACACAAUCAAGACUUAAUAAACUUACUAACAGCCAAAACCCAUCCUCACAAAAAAAGAAAAGGGAAAAAAAUCCAGUAAAGAACAAUCGUUAAACUAGUAACAUAAUCAACAUCUAAUUAGCAUGAUGGUGGUAAUGGUGGUGGUGGUGGAGAGAGGGGGAGAGAGAGAGAGAGAGAGAGAGAGAGAGAGAGAGAGAGAGAAAGAGGGGGGCGUACAUGUCGCACCUGCAACCGGUCGCCGGAACACUCCGCCGCUCACCGGAAUCCUCCGCCGCCGCCGAGGCCGAUCAAUCGCCGCGUGUAGUCGCCGAGCACAAGGAGGGAUGGAGAGAUCGGGGAGAGGAACUGCGUCCGAGUAGGGUUGCGGGAGAGCUUAGGGCUUCUGAUUUUCGGGUUUUAUUCCACUAGUACCUCAACCCGUUUCAUUAUUGUUUUUUAUUGUCCGCAUCCCGCUCCAUGAUCCGUCGACAUCUGCAUCGGACCCGAAAUUGCAGACCCAUUGUGCAUAUACUAGUAUAGGAUAGGAUCCAUACUAUGCGACGGAUAUGUAGUAUUUUAAAUAAUUAUAUUAGUUAUUAAAAUUUUAAAAUUAAAAAGUUAUAAUUAAAAAAAUAUUAUAAAAUUAUAAAAUAGUUUUCUGAACAUUAUAAAAAAAUUAUUUUCUUUAUUAAUAUUUUCUUAACUUUCAACAUUCAUAAAGUUAAAUUAUACUAAUAAUUUUAUUAAAAUUUAAUCAAAUUUUUAGUUUUGAUAGUUAUUUUAUAAAUAAAUUUUUUAAAUAAAAAAUUAAAGUGGGAGGACUUUUUUCAAAUUAAAGAAUAAGUGAGGGUUUUCUUUGCCAUGUUAAAAUUGAUGGGAUAAAGAGAAACUAUUAUAUACACCUAGUGUAUAUUAAUAUUCUAUAUACCACAACUUAUAUCAAAUUAUUAAUAUUCUAAUAUAAAAAUUUAAUUAAAUAUAUACGAUUCUACAAAGUUUAAUAAUUUAAAUUAUGUUUGUUAAAUUAAUUUUAAAAUCUCUAGUAAAGGAUUUUAGGCAUGUGGUGCAUGUAUAAAUAUACACUUAGUGUAGAGAAUAUUUAAUAAGGCGCACUCAUAAUUCCAGGAGAGGCGAAAUUUUUGUUUUCUCCUGAUACGUACCAAUGCUCCAUACACCGCACAUAAUACUAGAUGAUUAACAAAAUAUUUGAUAAUUAAUAUUAUAAAAUAAAAUAAAAUAAAAUAUAUGUAAUAUAAAAUAUUUAAAUAAUUUAAUAUACUGUAGAAAUUUAUCUUUAAUGCAUAUUUUAAAGCCGGUCUACAGUGCAAUGGACGAGUCCAAAAUUUUUAUUGGGUAUGUUGCAACCUCCCAUUUGUUUAUUCCUCAAAUAGCUACGUGACUCUCUAACGAACUAUUAUCUUGAUAUGACCGAACCAUCAAAUAGUAUUUAUAUAUAUAUAGAUAGAUAAAUAAAUUGAGUUACAUUAUGUGGCUAUGCGGCCUAUCUGCACAAUACACGUGAUUAUAAGAAAAAUCGAUAAUAUUUGUAUCUACGACCAUAUCAAUGCUAUACAUAAAAAUAUUGUUUUAAAUUUGCAUUUAUCAACAGACUCAUUUUUUGAUAAUUUUUUUUUAAAAUUUCUUUCUUUUUUUCAUGCAAAAUAAAUAAUAAAACGACAUAAGCUUUAAAUUCUCAUUUUUCUCUAAUGAAUAGGCUUUUUCUUUUUUAUUAUAUAUUUCUAUAUCAUUCCAUAUAUUUUCUUUUACAAUGAAUAUUUUCAUAUUUUCUCAAUAUUAUCUACUAAUGUUUACUUUUUAUAUUAACUUUUUAUUGAUUGUCGAAUUUGAAUUUAAUGUCAAAUAUAUAUUUAAAUUUUAAUCUUAUAUAAUUUAAAAUUAAAUUUUAAAUUUUUAAAUUAAAAUUAAAAAUUGAGUUUAAAUCAUGAAUUAAAAUUUAUUUUAGAUAUCAAAUUUGAAUUAACAAUUGAAAAAAGUAUAAUUAAAGUAUAUCAAAAUUAAAUUUUAGUUUUUGAAUUAAAUGUGAAUUAAAAUUUUUGAUACUUUUAGUUUAAAAUACAUACUUAAAUUUUAGAUUUGUUAGAAUUCAAAAAAUAUACAAAUAUAUUCAAUAUAUAUUUAAAAAACAAGUAGAACUAUAGAAUGUGGCAAGUAUUUUUUAAUAAAAUAUAGCAAGAUAAAUUUUUUUUUAUAAUUUAAAUUUUUGUUAUAAAUUUUUGGAUAAAUAGGCUACACAAACAAAUAUUGAUUUGAGAUAACUAGUGUGUGUGUGUGUGGUUUUUCAAUUUUUUAUAUGUUGAAAUAUCUUGAAAGAAAUACUAUAUUCGAAUAAAUGCGACAAAAUAUACUAUUUAACCAUAUUACAUAUGCCAAUAUCUCUCAAAGAGUAAAAUCAACUUCCAUGGUUGUAGUUACAAAAAAAAUCCUCACUAACAUAUCUAUUAUAAUUAUAUAACAUAUUCUAAUGUCCAAACAUGACCAUAAUAUUUUGGAGAUUUGUAUGAUCAAAAAAUAAGUCUAGAUUUCGACCGUAUCUAGCGUAACUGGCUAAGGAUUUGAUAAUUGAUGCCUGAGAUUUCAAGUUCAAGACUUUAUUAAUUCAUAUUUCUAUCGAAGUUCAUUUAUCUCUCUCUAUCUCUCUCUCUCUCCUCCCCCCUCUUAUUAUAAUAUUACCAAGUUUUAUUUCUAUUCUUCUACUAGUGAAGAACUGCACGUUGCGGCAGGAUGAUUUCGUAAAAAGAAAUAAGUAAAUAAAUAAAUAAAAUAAAGAAAGUAAAAGAAAGAGUCAAAGAAUUAUAUAAAAAAAGAAGCAACUGAAGAAUAAGAAACUAUUGCUGCAACAAAAAUAUCUAAAAAAAAUAAGAACAAAAACCAUACGAAUUUGCUAUCCUGACUAUUAAAAAAUAGUAUUGAUCUAUGCAAUAAAAUUGUAUAUUUAUUUGUUAUAUUGACUAUUAAAAAAUAGAAUUGAUCCAUACAAUAAAAUUUUACAUUUGAUGUAGGCAAAAAAUUUUAAAAAAAAUAUUAAGAAAAAAUAUAAAAAAAGAAAGUAAGAGAGAAAGGGAGAGAGAGGGAGAGUGUUGAGAGAAAAAAAAAAAAAAAACAAAAGAAAAAAANCGGUUUCUUCUGAGGCCCUGGCUACCUCACCUGUGUAGCCUAGUUCAUCCAUCCAAUGAAUGAAACUGGUAGCACGCUACCUAUUCAAAAAAAAAAAAGGUGGGCCCCCCCCCUCUCCCCAAACACGGGGAGAGUCUCUUUAGGCUCUCCUUUCAUUAGUGUUAUAGAUUAUCUCUCCCUAUCUCUCUGUCUCUAUUUCUCUAUGUUUGUGUAAUGUACUAAACUUUCGAAAAUAGAAGAGUUCUAAUAAGAAUAGCAAUGGAGACUAUUUAGAUAGCUCCAAUAGUGUUUGGGGAGUAUUACAGUGUUUUCGGUAAGAAAAAAAUUUUGGAGUGUCAAAUCUGCAAAACUGCAGAUUUUCACUUGGUAUCAAUACUGGAAUGGAGUAUCGGUACCCAGCUAUGUGGAGUUUGGAAAAACUUUCGAGUUUUGCGAAAUUCUCCUUAAGUAGCGACACUAAUUUGUGGAAUAUUGGUACUAAUUCGGGCGAGUAACGGUGCAUAAUAGAAAACAGAGAAAAUAAAUAUUUGAAUUCUACGAAACUAGCCUGGAGUAUCGAAACUUUUGAGUUGCAUACCGAUACUGGAACCUGAGUACCAGUAUUCAACUUUGCGAACAGCAGGUUAUGGAUGGUUGUUAUUAUGGUUGAUUGGAAGGUUUUUUUGCAAUUGCAGUGCCUCUACAUAAACCCAUAUUACAGCCAAAAUUUCUAAUUUUCAAUUUUCCUCUCUCUCACUCCCCUUCUCUUCUUUCUCCCUCUAAAAGAGGAGAAACCUUAGCUUGUCCAUUUGUUGGAGCUCCUUAAUCUAUCACAUUGGAGGCUUAUAGGAGAACUAGGGCACCAAAGGGAAGCUUUGUGAGGGAGAACGCAAUCAUCUCUACCCAUUAUUUUUUCUCAUUUGGAAGAAGAGGAGAGGAGUUGAUGUUUUUAGAUCUUAUUUAAGGGUUUUUCUCACAAAUGAGAGAUUUUUUAGGUUUAACUUUAUUAGAACUAUUUUUAGGAUUUUCUUGAUGUUUUAAGAAGAUCAAGACCGUCUCUUUAAAGGAGAUCCAAAACAAGGUAGAGAAUAUCAUCGAUAUGGAUUCGAUUUACUCUUUGUCUAAAGGUUUUUUUUUUUCUAUUAGCAUAUAUUAUAGGUAACAAGUAAUCUAAUUGUACUUUAGUUACAUGCUAGGAGAUCUAGUGGAUCAAGAUGAUAUAUGAAGAUUUGAACUAGGGCAAAAGAGUAUUUUGAGCCCUUUAUAUAUUAAGAGGUAAUAAUCUAUCUUCUAUUCCUUAUCAUUAUUUCUUUUAAACUUACCUCGUGGCAGCAUACCCUUUCUUUGCUAGAACCGAACAGGAUUUAUUGAGUGUAGGCAUCAACCCGAACCGGCUCAAGUCCUUUACAUGUUUCUAUAUUUUUUUUCCUUAAACUAAACCGGAUUGUUUAGUGUGGGUGCCAACCCGAACUAGCUCAAAUCCUCUUAUGUAUUUCUAUCUUUCUUUCUUUUCAUUAUUUCUCUUAAACUUGCCACGUGGCAGUAUAUUCUUUCUUUGCUUGAACCAAACCAGAUUUGUUGAGUGUGGGCACCAACCCGAACCGGCUCAAGUCCUUUACAUGUUUCUAUCUUUUUUUUUCUUAAACCGAACCGGAUUAUUUAGUGGGUGCCAACCCGAACCGGCUCAAGCCCUCUAUGUAUUUUUAUCUUUCUUUGAUUGAACUAGGUUAAUGUGCCCGAACCAACUCAAGUUUUUCUCUUUUUUUGUUUGAACCAAACAAGGUUCCCUCUUCUUUGCUUGGAUCGAACUAGGUUCCCUCUUUCUUAUUUUUGAGCCAAACCGGGUGAACCUGCUCGAACCGGCCCAAUAUUUGUUUUCUUUGCUUGAACCUACCCUGGUUCACUCUUUCCUUGCAUGAACCAAACCGGGUCAAACCUUUCCUCUUCCUUGGGCUAUUACGUUCCAGCCGAACCAUCCCUCUUCCUCUUUCUUAGGCACGAUGGAUUCUUUUCAUUGCCGCCACUUCUUCUAUCGUCAUUUCUUCUUCCGUUCUAGCUAUUUGUGGUGCCGGAAUCAAACGAUAGAUUUCUCCCUUUACCACUGCUUCUUCCAUCGUCUUUUCAUCUUCCUUCGUCGCCGUUUUCUAUUUUGGAUUAAUCCACCAUGGGUGGAGCGUUUCGCAGCAGCGCUUCCUAUACCCUAACACCUGUCCAUUCAGCUAUACAAUAACACAUCUAACAUCUAUUUUUUCCUGAACCCCAUCCUUUUUCUCUUGUAAGCUAUAAAAUUUUUAUACUAUUUCUAUUUUUUAAUUUUAUCUACCCGUAAUCCUAGCUGACAUUGUAACGACCCAGCCAUAUGUAAGAGAAAGAAUAUAUGUAUAUGCAUAUUGGGUAUUAUCAGAACCUUGUUGUAUAGGUGAAACAAGUGGCAUUUAACCUAGGUUGGAACCUAAAGUGUGAAACAUAGUAAUAUAUAAACUCUAGGUGAAACUCGAGUUAGAUAACAAGUGUAUGCGCAAUGGACAUUGAGGAUAACCUAGAAAUUAUGUGAACUUAGGGUGUAACCUUCACAUAGGACGUGACAUUCCGAAAGUGUUAAACUGGGAGAUGUCGAUUACCUUCAACUUCUACCACACUUGGUGAUGCCAAUAGUCUUUCGACGUCAAGUGCUUAUGGAAUAAAGGGAUGUCGAUGAUCUCUUGACUCUCCAUAAGGUACCAAUUGGAGGGAUACUGACAAUUUCGACUCUCCAUGAGGUGUUUUGUAAAAAAGGACUAAGCUAAAGGUUAGUAUAAAACAAGAGAUCUUGGAGUAAAUUUGUAACCAAUGACAUGGUAGCAUGGUGGUUGUAUUUUCACUACUUGCAUUUCUAUUGUAAAAAAUAGAUAUUUUGUCAUGCUUCGGGGUUUUUUUGGAAAGUCCUUUUUAGGAAAACUAGUAGAAAACGUGUAAAUUUUUAAAAAAAAACACCUUUGAGAAUACCCCUCAAACGUACACAGACCCGCCGUACAUGAACAAAAGAAUAUUUCCUGUACAAACAGACAGAGUCUCCCCUGUACAUGCAUGGCAUAGCACCAUAGUACAAGAUCAAGUACACAUACAACCUUACAACACAACAUCUAAUGCUCAUUAAACAAUAAUAAUCACAUCUAUCCAUUAAUAUAAAUACAUUAACAGGUGAGAACUAAACUAAUCCAAUAGACAUGAAAAGCUAAACCAAAAAUUAAAAAAAAGGGUUAGUGAGGACCAAACAGGAACUCGGCUAUCUAGUAUUGUCCUCAUGCACCGUCCCAACUCUUAUUGCCCGCGUCACCUGAAAAAUGGUGGGGUGAGAACAUGUAAACAUGUAAGGACUGAGAUUUUUGACAGUGCAACUAAACUCUCUGUUGAUGAUGUUUAUGUGUGUAAUUUAAUUACAUAAGCACUCGUCAAGUUUCAGGAGAAACUGAGCUAAAAUGGAGAAGAUACGCGAUUUUUAGUUUUCACUUAAGUGAAUAGUAACUCCGGUUUUCCGGAGAAGCCACGGAGUAGAGUUGGCUUCUGGUGCGUAUCGGACUCCGUUCAUAUCAGUCCAAUAGCUCGUUUCGACCGGUUCAGCUGUUCUGGAACUAGUGGCGCUGAUGGAUUUUGAGUUUGACGCACGGAUUUCGAGAAAAUCCAAAAAUACAUGUUUUAUAUGUAUUUGUGUGUGUGUUUCCUUCUAUUGGAAGAAGGUUGGAUUUUGUUGUGAAUCCGUGGUCGAUCGAGAUGAAUCGAAAGUGUAGCUUUGUUGUCUCCGAGGUGCUGAUCGCACUGGUGCAAUCCGUUCGCAAAUCUGACGGACGGAUCUGCGGAGAUCGCGCGUUGAUCGAGGAGAGGUCGGUGAUGGCAAAACGGUAAUUUCGCAAAAGUUGCGACAUUUUAUGUACCGUUUCGCGUGAAAUCGCACGUGGAGGGGUUUAUGCACGUUUUAUUCGUGCGGUGAGGGACUAAGAUUAAAUGGUUGAGUCUUGGAGGACUUUUCGGCAAAAUUACACUUACAUUUAUAAGUUGAUGUUAGAUUUUUUUGCUUGGAAACCCUAACCCUAGGUCGUUCCUGCUAGCCCUAGUCCACCAGCCGCCUCAGCCAUCUCCUGCCCUCCCCGUGCGCAUGCUCCGGCCGCCGGCGAGCUCCUCCGGCCGCCGGAAAUCCCUGCAUCACCUCUCUCUCUCUCCCUUUUGGCCAACCCCUUCACCGCAUUGUGGUUUGCGGACCCUGGUAGCCACCUAGCUCGAGCACCUUUGUCCCCUGGCCGUGGCCCAGCCUUCGGCGACUCCCCUCGUCGCCGCCGUCGUCCCUGCGCACGGCGCCGGAGCCGCCCCAGCUCUCUGCGGCCACAUGCAUGCACCCAGGCCGAGCUUGGGUCAUCUUUGCAUUCGCGCGCCGCCACCGCUCCCUAUCGGCCGCGCCGCCCUCUGGCGACCUCCGGCGACCUCGCGCGCGCCUCCCCGCUGUCCCCGCACACCGCCGACCGCCACCCGAGCUCUCUGCGGUCGUCCCGAGCGCGUGCGGGCCCUGCUUGGACCAGUACGGCCUUCGAGGGCCGCCGCCGCCCACCGUCAGGAGCACCACCUCCUCCUCGACCUNGAGCCCAAGACCUCGAAGGGACUCGUGUCGUUGCUCUUCCACUGUUCAACCUCGGCUUCACCUCUCGGCUCCCCUCCAGUCCCACCGAAAAGGCCGCCGCCCUCGUCGCGCGGCAGCCGGCCCCGCACGCGUGCUCUACCCGUCCCCCUUCGAUCACUACCGAUCCCAACCACCCAUCGACCCACCUGAGCCCAAUCCCAAAGGAAACACUUUGGGAUCGUGAAUACAUACAUAUAUAUAUCCACUUUUUAGCGUUCUUCCAGGAGGGUCUCGAAUUAUAUGAAUCGAUUCAGGGACGGUUACACACGCAAAGCGCGUAUACAUGGAGGUACAAGCUUAAGUGCGUUAAGCUAUGUAUUUUAUAAUCCAGAAAACACUUUUAUAGUAAAACGCUAGUGGCUGGAGAGGAGCUUGUUGCGCACUAAAAGCGUCUAGGCAGGCAUUCUAAACGCUUGCCUAACGUGGUCACGCUAGUCGUGCUGCCUCUGUUGUUUAGAUGCUAAAACCAAGUGGAGCUAGCUGGUGCCUAAGCGCUGCUUUAGGUUGGAAAGUAAGGUUGUCUUACUUAUUGUGUAUUUAUGUAUAUUUUGUACAUAAAAACCUAAAAGAGUUUUAGGCACGUAGUUUGAGUUUUAGGCAGUCGCGGUCAUCAAGGUCUUAUCGACUUGGCCAGCUUUGCUCGAUAACCUAGCGAUACUUGCCUCAGGCUAUGCGCAUCUCUCGGUUGAGAUGAGGCACCGAAGUGGCUUUUUGGCCUCAAUCAUAAGUGAAUUCACUUUUGAUUAUUAGCGCAUUGAAGAGGCAAAAUCGAGUAAAAGAGGACUUUGAACUGCUCACGAAUAUAUCAAUUUAAUGUGUGUAUUUAUAGUAGUUGUCUCUCAAAUCAUCGUGACAUUUUUAGAGUCAGGAAUGUUAUUGAAAAAUAAAAAAAAAUGAUAAUGAUGAUAAAAAAAAGAAGAAGAAAGAAGGGUUAAAAAACCCCAAAAAAACAUCACCGGCUCCGUGUUUUACUUGAAGGAUCCAAUUUUUUUAUAUACAAAAAAGAAUAUAAAAAUAAAAAAAAUAAGAAAGAAGAAUAUAAAUAGGUGACUAUCGUAAUGAAAAGUGCUGGCGUGGGGGAAGGAUCGGGAGACGGGGGUGGCGAGGACGGAAACGUAGCUACGCGAGAGGGAGGAACAAUAGGGGUUUAGGACGCCGUGAGAAGAACACCGGCAGCGGCAGGUGUAGACGCAAGAGAAAACAUCGGAAUGGAGGUCUUAAACACGGUUCAGGAUCGGUCGCAGUGACGGUGGCCGCACCUACCUCCACACGUUCGCCACCCUCUCUCCUCGUACUGUAGCUGCACCCCCGGCGUCACCUCCUCCUCCUCCUCCCUCUCUUUCGCCUUCUUUUUUUUUCCUUUUUUUUUGAUGCUCCUCUUUCCUCUGCUUCUCCUGCCUCUUUUUUCUUACUCUCUCUUUCCUCUUUCUUUCUCCUUAUGCUCAUCAAGCUAGUUCUCAUAAAACCAGUCAAAUGAUUUUUAAGUUUAGAUUAUAAGUUUUAAGUUUUUUCACCAGACUAAAACGUUUUUACGAUUUCAUCACUUAAAAAAAAAAAAUACGUUUAAUCGGUUAGAAAAAACUCUAAAAUUAUAAUUUUAUUCAAUUAUUCUGACAUGACUAUCAGAAACUUACUCAUUACACAUUCUAAAUAUAGUAUAUUAUCGAUAUAACUACCGUAGUGAGUUCGCUCUUGUUAGUCAUUUGGUUUUCCCCUCAAUGAAACACGCAUAUUUUAUCCAUAAUGAUAAUGUAUAGAUGGCAUUUCACCUUUUGAUAGAUUAUUACUCUAAUCAAUUUACUACUCUUUUUUUUUAGGUUUGUAAAAGAGAAAAUCUAAUAAGUACCUAAAAAACGUUUAUUUAGUGAAGUUUAACGAUUUAAUAUACAAAUGAGGUGAUUUAUAUAUGAUCAUAUUUUACAGGAAUAUCGUAGUCAUUUGUUUAAACAUAUGAAUACGGAAUCUACAAGGAUUCAUCUACGAGCCCGAAACCAUGUUUAAUCCUGUUCAUCGACUACAAAAAACAAAACUCUAAUCCCGUUUAAUUCAAUAGGUAACGUCAAGAGAUAACGUUAUGUUGAGGACCGGUGACCUACGUAUCAGACUCUAUUUACCGAUCUUUGGUACAGAAAACACUUUUUUUUUGGAUUAAUUUGCGACAAAUAAAAUAACAUUUACCUCCCUUAACAACAUUGUUUUCAAUAAAAUAUCUUCAGUGAUUAAUAUAGUAAGAGUAAACGAACAAACAAACAAAGGUCCAGUGAUGUUUCUUUAGGAUUUAAAUGAAUGGUGUCAAUUAGGAAGAUUAUAAUGUAAUUAAUCAAAUAGAACUAAUAUUAAGUUGAAUUCACUGACGUUUCAAUAACUCCCACUUCAAUGAAUACGGACUGAUUACCUACUUCUUAGUAACUUGAAAUUUUCGUACGUUCCUAUUUUCGUGUCAUUUGACGUGACAAUCGGGGAUUUGAUAAAAAAACUCAAAACCCAAAAUUCAUUACUUUACGGAACAAAUUAUCUAAUUCAUGACCAAGAUUAAAUCAGGAUUAAACUUAAACUUAAUACCUGUAUCGUAAGACCUGAACUAGUUAAAAGUGAAAGGAGAUUUUCAAAGUUAAAACAACGUAAUUUACCGAAUCUGAAAAUUUGGCAGAGUUAAAAUCUAAGCGAUAGUUACGUAGUAGGUAUCGCCACUUUUAAAUUUCGCCGUAUAGUUCACCGAUAAGGAUUCAAACUAUUAAUACGCGUACAUUCGUCUUUUUAAAGAUGGUAUUUUCGGUAUUUUACAUUCUUACCGUUUGAAAUGGCAAAAACUUAAAGAUGUUAUUAUCAGAAAUGUGGAUCACUCUUCAGAUCCUUAUGACUAAACCAUCGUUUGAAAGUAGAAGCACCAACUGCUUUCAACUACUACCCCGAUGAUAACUUUUUAAAAUAUUAAAGUUCUAGAUAUUACAUUGGCGAUCUACACGAACUUUAAACCAAUAGCUUAAGCUGAACUACGAGAACUGAGCGGCUGUCGAAACAACAAAAAAAAAAAGGGAUGUUUUUUAAAAAGUGCAUUUAAGAACUCAAGAUAAAAAAAAAAAAAAAAAAAAAAAAAAAAAAAAAAAAAAAAAAAAAAAAAAAAAAAAAAAAAAAAAAAAAAAAAAAAAAAAAAAAAAAAAAAAAAAAAAAAAAAAAAAAAAAAAAAAAAAAAAAAAAAAAAAAAAAAAAAAAAAAAAAAAAAAAAAAAAAAAAAAAAAAAAAAAAAAAAAAAAAAAAAAAAAAAAAAAAAAAAAAAAAAAAAAAAAAAAAAAAAAAAAAAAAAAAAAAAAAAAAAAAAAAAAAAAAAAAAAAAAAAAAAAAAAAAAAAAAAAAAAAAAAAAAAAAAAAAAAAAAAAAAAAAAAAAAAAAAAAAAAAAAAAAAAAAAAAAAAAAAAAAAAAAAAAAAAAAAAAAAAAAAAAAAAAAAAAAAAAAAAAAAAAAAAAAAAAAAAAUGAUAAAACACCAAAUAAAUGAAACACUAGUAGUACAAAAAAUAAAAACAAAUACGUGAGCAGCAUUAUCAUUGACAACCGUAAGCCAAUUUAGCUUAGUCCAUGCGGGUAUUCCCCAAGCUAGGCUGCCUAUAAUACAAUAGAUUAACCUAAUCCUAAUUAGAGCGAAAGUUUAACCUUUCGAUUAAUCUCUAUUUAGAUUAGUAUAAUCCUAUUGUUUAUUAUUAGCUAAACCGGAAUAGAGAUUGCGAUAAUCCUAAAACCUUAAAGAAUAUUUAUCUGCCCGCUAGGGUGUACUUUGCUACAUGUUUUUUUCUUGCCUUUUUUUCUCUCUUAUUCUUUUGUUUUCCUCUAUAUGGUGUAGGAGGUAAUUGGAUAAUAAGAUUCUCCCUGAACUUGCCACCUAAACACUAGCACGGGCAAACAUCAAGCUAGGUGGCGCUCAAACCUCGCAAAUCUUCUGGAUGUUCCUGCUAGGUUCCUGUGCACUUCACCAUCCCCUGGCCGAGACCCAUCUCCGGCAUCUUCCCUACCGACUCCGGCCAUCCCCAUGCCCUGCCGAAGCCCCACGAGUCCCCUGCGGCCAUCUGCGGUCAGCCCAGGCCGAGCUUGGGUGACCUCGGUCUAGGCGCGCCACCGUUGCUCCCCAUCGGCCGCGCCGCCUUCCGGUGACCCCCGACAACCUCCCGCUUGCCGUCCCGCCGUCCCUGCACGCUGCCGGCCGCCGCUAGAACCUCCUGCGGCCGCCCAGACCCAUGCGGGCCGAGGUCGGGCCCGCUCGGCUCCCAAGCGCCGCCACUGCCCACCGAGGGGUGCACCAUCUUCCCCUCGGUCUCCGGCACCGGAUCCUUGCCGCCCCGACCCCCUCCGACCGUCGCCGCGCCGCCGGGAAGCUCGAACCCGAGAGGAACUCGGCGGCUUUGAGCUGCGCUGCCGCUCCACCGGCCACCUCCCGCCGCCGGCCAGCAGGUGCCCCGAACCCCACCGACCGGCCACACCCUUCCCUGGCCGGGCCGCCCGCCUCCCGGUCUCCCGGUCGCCGGCGACCAACCCUAGCCCUCCUCGGAUCCGGUAAGGCCGUUUUGUGUUCCAGCACAGUAGUUUAGCUUUCCGGCCACCCUUCCGAUGAUCCAAUGACUCCCCGACAUCCCGGGAAGUGAGCACGAUGAUCUAGGGUUCGUGCUGAACAUCGUGCUUACCUCCGACAGCGGCAAUGAUGCCCUGGUUAGCGAGUUAAUCGCAAUCUUUGCGCUGUGCGCGCAGUCUCGCAGAGUUUCGCAUUGCUCGUGCGCUUCCCUCUGUGGCCGGAAUUGCUCCGAAAGGUGAGCACGGUUUCCGGCACGCCGAGACCUGUCAGCGGGUGUCUCGGCUUCGCUGUUUCACUUCUGGUUUGUGCAGACGGACUAUAAAAGCGCCGAAAUCGCAUGAAAUAAUGCGAUUUCGGGUAUUCGGACGGGCUUUUAUGCAACUUUAUUCGUCGUGGCUGCUGUUGGCAGCAAAUAUGGGCCGAGGAUAACCUCUGGAGUGAUCGUCCAAGGCCCCAAGCCUUUGCGGGAAUCAAAAAAGUGAUUUUCAGUGCGUUUCUCGGUGAAAUCCGCCGACGAAACGCUGGUUCGGUUCGGAAUUGUUCCGACGGUGCUUCGUGAGCUAUUGUGUAGUCGCUGAGCCUUGUUGGUUGGUCACCCGCAUCGUUUCGAGGGUUCGAAAAUGACGGGUGAGCGACAGUGGGUUUCGGUGUCGAAUUAGACACUUCCGGGAAACCGGAUCGAAACGACUAUCCAACGAUAAUUGUUUCGACGUGAGGAGUUGUGUUCGCUGCCAUGAUGCACGAUUAUUUAUGUUUAGUGGCAGCGGGUGACUCGUAGCUCGAGUCGGUAUGUUCCUGGAUAGUUCGUGGUUCCCGGCGGAGUCCUCGUGCGAUUACGGGACUUCCGGCAUAUUACGGCGAUCGGUUUGGGAAACCGAUCUCCGUGGGUUUGUUUGUGGGUUGUGGAUUUAGUGGUUAUUAGUUGUGGGUUAGACACUAACCCGGUGAACCUUCCUUAGGUCCGGUUGACUUUCUUUCGCAGUCAGGAGACAGGCGCGACAUUCGUACAAGUGGGUACUUCGAUCCGAAGUCGGUACAGUGGUGCACGCUCGGUGAGGUUUCUUCUACACUCAUUGUUAUUUGGUUAUUAUCUUAUUAUAUGUUGAGCCUACACCCAUGUUGUUUUGGUUAUACUCUACUCAGAUGUUUCCAUACUUAGUACCAUGUGUAGGAGUAGAGUAGUUUACUUGUAUGUGAUAUCAGUGACCUGGUUGGUCGGUUCUCGUACUUCAUAUCAGUGAUCUGGUUGGUCGGUUCUCGUACUUCGUUCAGUGACCUGAUUGGUCGGUUCCUCGUACAUCGUUCGAUGACCCUUGAGUGUCGGUAUACCCUAAGGGGUGGGAUUUCGGUUAGCACCGACGGAUGAUUAUAGUUUACUCAGUUCCACUGUUUGUAUGUUUUGACCUAGUCCGUCAGCUUCAUGAGUCCGUCGUCGAUGACCUUUGAGGUGCGUGUACCCUGAGGGUAGGAUUGUCGCUGGUGCUGACGGUAGUUCUGGACAUAUCCAAUAACUCCUGUGACCUAUCGGUCGGUUCUUGCGUUCGUACUUUUAGUUGACAUCGAGCAGUAUUACAUACUAUCUUUAUUUACUCUGCCUGGUUGUUCUAUGUGUAGUAUCCUGUAUAGGGGUAGAGUAGAUGGCAUUCGUAUAUACUAUACUUUGACCGUGGUGUCGGUUCUCCUGUUUGCAUCGGUGACUGUUUGUCGUUCGUUACUGUUCCGUAUAUGACCUAUCUUGGUCGGUUCACGUUGUUACUUGAUGACCUACACGGUCGGUUAGCCCGAGGGGCGUGAUUGUCGGCUGAUUGCGGACGUUGCAUAUUGAUCAUAUCUGCAUUGAUCGCACAGCUCGAGUGCAUUUCACGUACACCAGCGGGUUGAUCCCCCGCAGGAGGGUGUCUUUUCCGGAAAAAGUUGGUCGUACAUCCGACCCGUGAGCCCAGCGGUGUUCUCUCUGUCUAGGGUUACAUGCCAGGUUGAGCAGGUAGUGGCUUUUGCCUGAGGUCCUUAGACGACACGGCGGUUUAGAUUGGGUACUUUUGGACUACUUGUCCGGUUGACGCAUAUAGUUAUAGUAGCGGUUGUUGCAUGUAUACUUGAGUUCCUUCUUUACACUUGUCUUGCUACUAUAGUUUUGAUAUCCCUGUAUGUAUGCUUUUCAUUCUAUUUACAGUAGCGAGUUGUUCUCUCAUAUCUAUAUCUCAUUCGUCAUAUCGUUGCUACUGUAUUUCACUUACCCAUAUACUAUUGUUUAUCUUCCUGAUCCGGUGAGUACUCCUCGCCCUCGUCGGCUUGCGGUACCCACUGGGAUGGGAGACAUGUUUACAUGUUCUCACCUCCCCCACCAUUUUUUAGGUAUUGCAGGCGUUGGAGUUUUGGGACGAGAACGUGAGGUACGUUCGUAGCGGUCGAUAGAGCUUCGACCCAGGUUAUCGGUUUAGUUUUAUCCACUAUUCUGUUGUUAUAGCUUAGUCAGUUUAUAUGGUUCAGUUUUUAUUACAUUGGAAUAUGUGGACUUUCAUGAAUGUAAUAUAAAAGGAUUUCUGGAUUUGGUAAAAUAAAAGGUUUUCUACCCCUCGUGGUAGCUUUUAUAAAAGAUAAAAGUUUUCGCGUAUGGAACAGUUUUCAAAAGAUUUUUCGUGGACUUUUGUUUAAACAUCGAAUGUAAAACUACGGUGUGAAUGGUGAAUGUAUGAAUGUAUAGCUAUCUGUAUAUUCAUUUAGUUGUGGUUGUAUACUGUUUGUACUUUUGUACUUGUGUGACGCCGUGUAAAUACAGGGGAGACUCUGUCCGUGUGAACAGUGGAUUCCCUGUAUUUGUGGCGGAUCUGGCAUACUCUGGGGUCAGGUUUUCAAAAAAAAAAAAUUUAAACGCUUUUCCGCUGUGUUUCAAACUAAAAGGGAAUCCCGGGGCGUGACAAAACAUGUCUCCCCUCUCAGUGGGUACCACAAGCUGACGAAGACGAGGCAUACUCACCGGUAAGAGAAAAAAUAACCAAAGUAAUAAACAGAUAUCUUAAGGUCAGUAGCAAUGAGAUAAUAACAGAUAAUAAAUAUGAAAAUACCACUACUGAGCAGAAAAUAACAAAUAGGCAUAAUCAAUAGGUAUACUAGAAUAAUAGCAAUAAUGGCUAGGGAGGCACUACAACUUCCCAACAGUAUAUAAGUAUAUACUACUAUAACUAACCAUAGAACGUACCAAUGCAUCAACAUGGUGAACGAAACCAACAACCAAAACCACUAUCGUAUUGGUCGAAAGACCUAAAGCUAAACCACAACCUGUUUGCCGACCGAGUAUAUAUAAUCCUAACAUGCACAUUGUACGGCUCACGGGUCAGAGGUACGACCACUUUUGAAAAGAACACCCACUUGCAAUGGAUCAAACCGCUGGUGUACGUGAAGAUGCUCACGUGCUGUAGCAAUCGAUGUAAUAUGCUCAAUAGCCUACAACGGCAACGAAAGAGUAAUCCACAAUGUCUGACCGAAUCAGGUUCACUGUUCACGAAGGAAAUGUCACCAUGUCACUAACCUAUAAGAUCUAUAUAACCAACUCAUCAUGUCAUUUACCUAUAAGGUCUAUAUAACCAACUCACCAUAUCACUGACCUAUAAGGCCUAUAUAACCAACUCACCAUGUCACUAACCUAUAAUAUUACUAUGUAACUAAUACAAAUGUCACCAAUCACCACAAUCAAAUCAUGACAAAUAAUCAUAAUCAAUACUACUCUACAACUAGAUCAUGACACCAUAGAUAAGAAUACCGUAGAGUAGACAAAUGAAAAUCAAAUGAUAUCUAAAAGCUAAGUAAGUAAACAUAGAUAUACUAUGCAAUUACAAAAGAGAUCAAGAAAAGGAAGAAGUCACUUAGCAGGCACCGCUGAACCAACUUUGGAUCGAAAUACCUACCUCUACCGAAGAAUAUAACCGAGUCGUCGACACCCGUCAAUGUCUCCUGCCACACUCUGGACAUAUGCAAAGUCCCAAAAAAAAUGUAAUUAGCUCAAACCCGCUAAUUACAAAACCUAUGGUUUCAAGUGAAACCGACAGGCGAGCAAUCAGGUUUCUGGAUCCCAACCCUCGAUCACCAAAAAAUCGGCCGAUUGUCGCACCGACUCAUCGGUUUGUCACUCCAACCCACAGGACAUUCCAAAGCAAGUCCCAUAAAAAGCCUACCUCAUUCGCUGUCCUAAUACAUCAAUUUAAUGCCAAUGGGAUAGCCUCGCAAAUAGUGCGUCAAAACGGAAAGCCGUGAUCCCAGAAUUCACCGGUUUGGCUUCCAAGGUGCCCCUUUUGGCACCGGAGCCACCCGUAGCCAUCGUGCUGCGACAAGAGGUGUCAAACCUCACACUAAGACUAGCCAAUAAGGCUCAACUCUACUGUGAAUAGCAGCAACCAGCGCGAUACAAAACUGCUCCCGAAAUUGCUCGAUCUUUGCAUUUCGGGGUUCUAUUAAGCACAAAAGUGUUUUGAGAUACUCCAAAGGUCAUGCAACCAUCCCAACUGUUCCAAAACACUCACUUUUGGAUGUUAGGAUAGCCGCACACUAAAUGGUGCGAUCCAAAAGUGAAAUUCUCAAAAUCCAUCGUGCCGGGUUUUCGAAAAUCGUCAUUUUCAGCUUCGGAAUCCACCUAGGGCUCAUCGCUUGUCCGAGAUUCACACCAACAACUUCCCAGCCAACCAACAAGGCUUCUAUACUGCUGCAACCAGCAACCAAGACCGCUCCACAAAGACGGAGUUGAAAACACCUACACAACGCACCAAACUCGCCGUUUUAAGUGUCGAUCGCCACGAAAUCCCAAUUGAAGGACUUUUUGGACCUCGAACAUCAAGUCCGACCCAACAUGCACGAUCCCCAUGCUGUUUGAGACAACAAUGAUGCGAAAAGGGGCACUUCGGCAUUUCAUCAAACACUCGGCGCGCGAUAAUAUGAAUAAAAAAGCGAUGUUUAGGGAUAUACCAUUGAUUUCGCGGCUUCGAAAUCCGAGCGAGGGUAUAGACCGGAAGUUCUCGAUGCUCUGGACACUAUGCUUGCUAUCCGAAGUGAAUCCGACGAUCAGAAGAAGGCGAAAAUAUGGAAAAACCCUCCAAAUGCUUGAUCCUGGAAGCGACUGAGUUUGUCGCACUCAUCGGAACCUUACUGAUUGCAGCGAAGGUGAGCAACAGUACUCCACAGAACCCUAGAAGUGUGGUGUUCACGCUUCGGGAGCUCACCGAAGUCUCUAGUGGCCAGAAAACCAAGACUACCAAACAAUCAGCCUAGUGGGAUCUAGCCCACUAGGCUAGGACACCUCGAAUUCGGUGGCCAACGACACGACAGGGAAGGAUCCAGCCAAGGUAGGGUCGCCCCAUCUAGGGAAGGUGAUUGGCGGCCCUGGUCGGCGGCGGGAGGCAGUGGCGGCGCGGCACGGUUGCGGAACUCCCAACCGGAUCAGCAGCUAAGGCAUCACCAUUCGCCGUAGCGGCGGUUCGGGAUGGCCAGGGGCGGCACCGGUGGACUCCUUGGGAUAGCCAUCGACAACUUGAGGUGGCAAAGUGCGGCAGGCCGGGUGAAGCCUUGCAGCCACACAAGAUCUAUGGGGAUCCCCUUGGCCACAGCAGCUUCCGGGGGCAUGGCGACGUCAGGGAAGCCUCGGGGAGGGUCGCUGGGGGGUCUCCUUUUAUGCCCAUCAAAUAUCUUAAUGCAAUCCAGAUCAGAAUUCUAUCAAACUUCAUCCAAGCAACUCAAAAUUCAGUUAGGCAAUUUAGAUUCCAAGUAGGCAAUGUAGAAUUCAGCUAGGCAAUUCAGAAUUCAGCUGGCCAAUUCAGGAUUCCAUGAAGAAUUCAGAAUUCAGCUAAAAAAAAGCAAAUCUGCGUAAGAGUAAGAGUAAGUCAAAAAGUGCCUGACUACUCCCAGCACAAAUGAGAGCCACCGGUUGCCCGCUAAGCAGGUCAGCCAUAGUGCUUUCAUGUCCAAUUAAUUACCGAAACCAUCCGACAUUUAAGGGGGAACAUGAUCAUACCAUCACAACCAUCGAUUUCAAAUUCGGCAAGAUUAUUCUUUAUUAGACGCAAGAUUAUUCUUUAUUAGCUCGCAAGCUUACUUUCAUUGUUUUGCAUAUUGUAUUUGCAUUUCCUGCUUUACUAUAGGGGCUGUUUGGUUUGACGUAAAAUUGGGAAAAAAAAUUUCGGUGAAAAAAAAAUUUUCAGUGAAAAAAAAGUUUUACGUAGUUGGUGUUUGGUUUGUAGGAAACGAAAAUUAGUUUUCAGUUAUACUUGUUUGGUUGAAUGAUUGAAAGAAAAAAGUUUAUUUUAUUAUUAUUAUUAUUAUGUAUUAUAUAUAUUAUUUAUUUAUAAUUUAUGUUAAUUAUUAGGCUAUAUAUAUUAUUAUUAUAAUUUAUAUUUAUGAAUUAAAUAUAUUAAAAUUAUAUAAUAUAAUAAAUUGAUAAGUAUUUAAUAUAAUAUAUGUAAUAGUCUGUAUAUAAUACUAUAUAAAAAUAUAUAAUUUUUAUAAAUAAAAAUAUAAAAUUAGUUUUUCUUUA